rnacentral:lncRNA from 1 species
UGGCUUGAGCGUUCUGCAUUUGCAUUUAUAUUCUUCCUUCUACUUGCCAUUUCCAUGAGCAACUUUCCAAAGCUAUAGACAUCUGCUUUACAAGAUACACCACCAAUGUUUUUAUAGAACAAUUUAGGUGCCAUAUAUCCUAAGGUUCCUCUUGCAGCAAUCAAUAAGACUAUGUUGUGAUUCGUAGGAUAAAGUCUAGCAAGUCCAAAGUCAGAAACUUUCGGAGUGAAAUUCUUGUCUAAAAGAAUAUUAUGAGGCUUGAUAUCAAAGUGUAAUAUUUGCAUGUCACACCCACGAUGCAAGUAUUCAAUCCCCCUCGCCACUCCAAGAGCAAUCUCAUAUAUUUUCCAAUAAUCGAGAGACUUAUUACCUUCAUCAGUGAAAAUGUGCUUAUCCAGAGAUCCAUUUGACAUGAGAUCAUAUACGAGAGCUUGUUUUGAGCCUUCAAAGCAAAAGCCAAUGAGUUGCACCACAUUAACAUGAUGAAUUCUUCCAAUAGUAGCCACUUCAUUGAUAAAAUCUUGGCCAUGAGCCUUAACUGCUUUAAAAUCUUGAUGGAGGACGCCGUGAAGACCUUUACAGUGUAAACUACAUGCCUUUUGGAAUUGGAUGCCGUCUGUCCAUGACUGUGAACCUAAGGAGUCAACAGCUUUAACAUCAUUUUACUUAGGUUUGAACAUAUAAAAGAAUUAUAUAUAAUAUAAUAUAAUAUAAUAUAAUAUAAUAUACAAGGUUGGUCCAAGGUUGGACCGAUUCAAAACUCUCAGGACCGAGAAUUAACCUGCACAGUGUUGGUCAUGAAAUUUCAGGACCAAGGACCGACCUAGUCCCCUUGGGAACCGGACCAAGAUCGGUAGGGUUGGGCCGGUUCAGGAUCAGUCCAGGAUCGACCGUAGACCGUUGCUCACCCCUAUUCCUUUCCCUUCCACCACUCUUCCAAUCUCUUGGAAUACCGCUGCCGGAACCUCUGACUCCCUUAUUUGUGUUUGUCUUUUUCUUGUAUUAAGCCUCAACUGCUCCUUUCCCUUGGCAUCUACGUGUAAGAGCUACGCUCUUCAAUUGUGAACGUUUUGUCUUUAUUGUAGACGUCCCUGUAUGUGUUCUUCGAAUUGUUGACCUCCUCUUCUAAACUCUCAAAGCACCAAUUCAGAAGAGAAAUGCUAGGGUUUCUUGCAAGUAUCCAUUUCCUAUUUUGAAUCAAAGGAUAUGCACAAUAUUCAAGUAUUGGAAACCUUUCCUUUAAUCCCAAAUUGAUUUAAUUACUCCCCAAGUUUGCAUUUAACAAAUCAAUUUUCCAUUUAGGCCCUGUUGUAAAUUUCAGCCAUUUAGGCCCUGUUUGGUAACCAUCCAAACAUGGCCAAAUUCCGAUUCUUUGUUCCUGGGAGUAGUUUGGGAAUAGAAUCACGUUUGGUAAAAUUUUUGUUCCUAGGAACAAAUUUCUAUUUUUUUUGUUUCCGGAAGUAGAUUUGGAACAGAAUCAAGAAUAAAAAAAAAGUUGAUUCUUAUUCUAGGAACAAAUCUAAGAGUCAAAACCAAGUCUUCUUCUUUUCUUUUCUUCUUCUUCGUCGACCGCCAUGUUGCGGUUGCCGUUCUUCUUUUCUUUUCUUCUUCUUCGUCAACCGCCAUGUUGCGGUUGCCGUUCUUCUUUUCUUUUCUUCUUCUUCGUCAACUGCCAUCCCGCCAUUGCCGUCCGCCACCGCCGCCGCCUGCUGCUGCCCAUCGUCGCCCGCUGCCAUCUGUUGUCUGCCGCCGCUGUCCGCCGUUCGCCGCCGCAGCCGCCGUUUGCCGUCUCUACUAGUCGCCGGCAACUGGUCCGACAAGCUCGCCAAAGGCAAACCCAGCCAUCGGCGAGAGCCUCACCGGUGGCCAGGGGGGCCUCGUCGGGGCUGAGCGAGCCUUGCCCAGUUGCUGACGAGGCUCGACCGACGAGGGCCGGCGACGCUCUGGUGAGGUCGCCAGCCUGAAGAAGAAGAAGAAUAGGAGAAAAAAUAAAAAAUAAAAAAGAAAAGAAAAGAAGGAAAAAAGGUAAAAAAGAAAAGAAAAAAAAGGAAAAAGUAUAAAAAUAAUUUAAAAAUUAAAAGAAAUUGAUUUGGAACAGAAUCAAUGAGCACGGUACCAAACGUAAUUCUAUUCCAGAAUCAGAAAUUUUGGACAGUUACAAACUGGCUUAAAAUGCUUAGAAUAUAUUCCCGAGAACAGAAUAAAAAAGAAUCAUUUAUGAUCAGAAUCUAUUCCCGGGAACAAAACCAUUACCAAACGCACCUUUAGAGAUAAACACGUUUGGCCAUAUUUUCAAUUUAUACAAGCAUAGUCCAAUCAAUUCAACUAAACUUAUGACCCCUUUUGCUUUAGUCCAAAAGUCUAAUGCAAAUAUAUGGGCAGAUUACUAUUAAUGUAAAUGCUUAUAAAGUGCCAAUACAAAUUAAAAAUAUUUUUGUUUAGAGAUCAAGAUCGAUCCCUAAUUUUUUAUGCAAUAAAUGGAUUAUCAAAAUUUAGAUUUCAAUACACUAAUACUAGUUAUUCAUGUACCUUUACCUACUAAAGCACAAAUGCAAGUACAUCAGAUUUUUUCAUACAAAUGUCCUCAUUCUGAUUUAAAUUGUGAACCUCAUCAAAUGUCAAGCUAGUUGACCUAGGCAGUAACAAUAGUAUUCCAUUUAUCAAACAAAACGAGGAUUAUAGAAUCGAAAAUAUAUACCUCGUCAUCAUAGUCAAUCUCAAUAAAAUUCAAUUGAUUAACAACCACAUUGAAUUUAUUGAUAUGAUUAGCAACCGACGGACUUUUGCCCAUCUUUAAGUAAAACAUGCAUCAUAUUAAGUGAAUUCCAAAAGUCUUCUUAUACAUGUUUGAUAGGCCAUUCAUCAAACUUGCAGUGGUGUUGACAUGUUUACUUUUGUCGACUAUCAAAAUGUGUGAUUUUUAUGGAGAAAUAUAAAAAUAGCAAAAAUUAGUAAAAAUAAAGAAAAAAAAUGUAGUAGCGGUAAUAAUAAAUAAAUCAAAAGAAAUUUAUGAGAGAGAGAGAGAGAGAGCGCGCCUAGUCCUUCCUUCUAUCCCCGAGCCCAGUGUCGGGAUUUUUGGAUGGACUGAGGAGAAUACUCACAGGGAGAGAGACAAGAAACGGUGAGCAUUGAGCCAUGAGAGAGGAGGCGAACGACGAUUCUUCUUUGCGGUGAAGUCUUCUCACGAGACCCUUGCCCAACGACCGAUUCAUCUCCGUCAUUCCUCGCUACCCCGGGGCCUGGUUUUCCCUCCCUCAUUCAUCCCUGUUUUUCAGCCAUUCGACCGGCGACCGUGAAAUGCCCUCUUCCACAAACGAGGUAGGCCAUCCUCGGAACCCCCCCCCCCCCCCCCCCCCUUUGUUCUGCUCUGUCUCGGUUGACCUGAAGACGAGAUUUGUCUUCUCGGAUUAUGCGUGUGUACGGUAAGGUCUCGAUCGAGUCGUCUCUAAUUUUUUGGGAAUGUCACUUGUUGAUUGCUUUUGAUUUGGAUGCGACCUCGAGCCCCGAAUGAGUUGCUGUCCUCCCCUCAGUCGAUGCACCCUAACUGUUUGAUAAAAUUUCCUUCAGACGAUCCCGUAAAAACAGCCACUGUUUUUGCCAUAUUCGGAGCUCAUGUAUCGUUGUUUUGAUUGUUAGUCACUGAGUUUGUCUCGUGCGAAGCCUUAUCUGGUUGAUCGUGGCUGCUAUGGUUGUUUCUUUCGUAUACUCCCAUGCUUGUUGCCUUGGUAGUGUUUAUCCGGUGAUGGCUAGCGACAAGUUCUCUGGUGAUCAACGACUUUUAGGGUUAGUCCCCAGCCGGCUCAAGGCCGCUCGUCUUUGGCCAUCCCCGAGUGGGCAUGUGACAUCCAGAUUUUUUCAACCCUGUCUUCUACUGAAUAAAUCGGGCAUUUCAUUGAUGCGCCUAUAGGGUUAUUCUCAGAGCCAAUCACUCUCGAGAUAACUAGACUAUCUGGGGAAAUUAUUAAGGAAUUUUAAGGCAAUAGACUUGAGAACUCAAUCAGGAAUCGACUUCUCGACCGUGUCCAUCUUUAGAUGUCAUUACAGCACAGUUAAAAAUCACUUUGAAAUCAGAGAUAGACUAGUUCGAUAGAGAUGUGUGGCUAAUCGUGGGUGACUCCACUAAAUUAGAAAAUUCUAGUCGACCGGCUCUAGAUUGAUUUUCUUAUUGUUUUGGUACCCUGUGUCCGCAUUUGGAUCCUUAAGAUUUUCACGACAAUCAGGAGUCGCCAAUGAGCCGAGUGGGUUCAUAGUGGCUCGAAGAAAAUCGACCACGGGUCAUUUGCACUUAAAAAUAUCUUAAAGUUACCCGGUAGCCUAGGUCACGCUAAAAAUGCAUCGAAUGGAAAUUAACCAUCGAUUCGAGUCCGAUUUUAGAAAUUGAAAUUCUGUCGUCUCACAAUAAAUUCUAGGAGUGUCAACUUAGUCUCAAAAGAUUUUUCUAACAUCCGACACUUUUUGGGAAAAAGAGUCACCGAAUUAUUUUUGAGCAGAAAAUGCCGAAGAUGGUUUUCGAUUGCGGAAUUGAGAAGCAUGAUGGAUUAUUGGAUGAGGAAAAUUGUCAAUUGAGGCAUUGAAGUGCCAAUUGACUUUGUACGGGUCAAAUGAGACUAAAUCGAGCAAAGAUCGGUGUCCAAUUGAGAGGGGUUGUGCCAAAAUUCGUGUACCCCACCAAGCCACAACCUUUGGACCAUUUUGGCUUCUAGAAGAGGGUGUCAUGUUGGAUCAUUGAAGACCAAGUAAUUAUACAUGGCCUAGAAUGAUUUUUGGAAGAUAUUUGCAAAAUAUCAAGCUUAAGGGGCCCUCACCUCUCAUCACAAUCCUCUCUCUCUGUCUGCCCCUUUUCUCAAGCGAGACCCCACGCCAUCAGCUCGUCUCUCUCUCCAUUUCUACUCUCUCUCUCACGCCCACGGUCGAAGCUGCUCGAAGUCCAACGAUUUUUCCUCCAAGCUGCCAAAUCUUCAAGCUGUUCGGUCAAAGUUUUCAUAAACCGAAGACCAAGAUCGUGGUCUCUCCUCACCGCCGCUGCCACUUGCCUACUUCUCCAUCUGCUUCGGUCAUGAAGCGAAGCCACCGAACGCCAUCUUCUCUCCAUCCGCGGCCAGUUGUCCGCGAUUCUGCUUCCCCGGUCAACUCUCGAAGACCGCAGCAAGCCUUCGUUGACGUCCGCUCCAUCCUUCGGUAACGACGCCAGUUAUACCUCCACGGACGUCUUCGCCAGUAGCUGCUUCUUCGGUCAACACUGCAAUCCAUCGAAGACCAGCAAAACUGAUGUAGCUGCUUCGUGGUCCACGCGUCCAAGCUGCUUCUGCGUGGGCUCUCUUCAUCAUUCGGUCCAAGUCUCCAAGCUUGAUCAGCGUUCAACAAAGAAGACCGCCUGCCAGCUGCCUUCGUCCGCGAGGUCUUUCACGAAGCAGAUCCGUGGCCGCGUCUUCUUUAGCUCAGCCACCAAAGCUGCUUCUGUCUUCGGUCCAACAGCCCAACAGUUGGGCCAUUGAAGCCCACGAAUUGAUUUCAACAGAACCAGCAACUUCUUUGGGCCUUCUUCUUCAGCCAUGAAGCCAGCGAAGUUCAAGUCCAGUAGCCCAUCAACUGAAAUUUGAGGCCCAAUUUCUAGCAAAGCAACUUGAAGCCCAAAUUUCAAUCUUCAAACCCAGCCAAGCCCAAGCCCAAGAGCAAGCCCAGUCCAGUGCAAGAACAAACCUCAAUUGGGCUGAGAUUUGUUGGGCCAAGCUUAAGGCCCGGUCCAAGCCCGCCGGCGUUGUUGAAAGCCCGAUUUCAGCCGCCGUCGCGUUGCUGUUGCGGUGAUUCGGUCUCCACUUUUACCAAGUGAGUUUUACGGUAAUUAUGCUUAAGGUUGGUUAGAUUUAAUUAACCACUGGGAUUUGCCCCAGUGGCCACCCUUCCAACAUGGAAGGGGGAGGUGAGGGGUUCAAAUCCCCACAUUCUUAGGGAGGGAUGGGGUGGGGACGCGUAAGUUUCAGGAGUGGGUUUCGACUCUCACGCCCUGUAAGAGGCGGGGCAAAAGUCUGAGAGUGAGUGUAAAGUAGGAAUUGAGUAGGACUGACUAAAAAAAAAAUGCAAUUAGGUGGUUAGAUUAGGUUAGAACAAUUAAAUUAGUGACUUAAUGAUGCAUGUUAGGUGGUUAGACCUAGUUAUUAGCAAGUAGAAAGGUUUGGUUGUUUAUUGAAUGCAUCUCGGGAUUUUUCCCAACCCGUUUCGGGCUCCAAUCAGGCAUUACGGGCCUAAAUUGUAUUUUUAGUAUUUAUUUAUUAAUUUUCGAAAUUAUUUAAUUAAUUAAUUAUUUUUCCGGAAAUUCAACCGGGAUGGCCGGUGAUCGGAAUUUCGUGUUGAUUGUCGUGAUGCAACCCGUUUAUUUAAUUGAGCUUCAAUUUAUAUGGAAUUGAUUUAAAUUGUGAAAUUUGAGGAUUUGUUCUAAAUUGUUUGUAAUUGAAUAUUUGAUUGGUAGAUAGCCGAGUAUGGUUAUAUAACGCUAUUUACGUUGAUGGGCUAUAUAGUAGAGAGAAUGGUGAGAGCUAACUGAGAAUAUUAUUGGCUAAGACCAAUCAGGUAUGAUAUUAUUGGACAAACGUGGUUCGGUGAUUGGAAGUAUCAUUGCCGAAAACGGCGCCUUAAAGAACGCACGUGAAUGACUUAUAGACAAACGUGGUUCGGUGAUUAAGGAAAUAUCACUGGUGAAAACGACGCCUUAAAGAACUCAUGAUGUUGUUUAUUACCAAUGUCACAUUGGCGAAAACGGCGCCCUAGAAAGGACACGUGGUUCGGUGAUCGAGGAUAUCACUGGUGAAAACGGUGCCUUAAAGAACGCAUGGUGUCGGUGAUUGGUAUGUCAUUGGCGAAAACGACGCCCGAGAAACACAUGUGAUUUGGUGAAGGAGUAUACCAUUAGGGAAUUAUGGUAUGAUUGGGAAUGAUCAAUGCUUGAUCGGAUGUCGUGAAUUGUUUGAAUAUUUGUGUUUAAUCUUAAUUUGCAAGUGGAAUCUGAGACCAAGUAAGUCAUAUGAUCUGUGCGUGUUUAGACAGCCCAUAGUGUAUUGGCUUACUAAUCGGGUCUUAGGGGGUAGAACUUGUUGAGACGUGGUAUCAUUAGUUAUUGAAUAACCAUUUCAGGACCCUGAGGGGGAGCCAAGGAGGAGGAACCUAAGACCCUGUUUGGUAACCAUCCAAACAGGGCCAAAUUCUGAUUCUUUGUUCCCGGAAUCAGUUUGGGCCUAGAAUCGCGUUUGGUAAAAUUUUUGUUCUCGGGAACAAAUUUGUUCCCAGGAACAGAUUGUGAAUAGAAUCAAGAACAAAAAAAAAAGUUGAUUCUUGUUCCGGGAACGAAUUUGAGAAUCAAAAUCAAGAACCCUCCUUCUUCCCUUCGGCCAUCUCGCGCCGCUGUCCACCACCGCCCACCACCGCCCGCCACCGUCCACCGUCCACCGCCGUCGUCCACCGCCGCCGCCGGCCGCUGGUCCGGCGAGCUCGCUGGAGGCAAGCCCAGCCAUCAGCGAGCUUGCCGAGGCUGGGCAGGGGCUGGGCAAGCCUCGCGACGCGGUGGUGGAAUUAAUGAGCAUGGUAAAAGGAAAAGGAAAAGGAAAAAGAAAAGGAAAAAAUGAAAAAAGAAAAGAAAAAAAGUAAAAAGGUAAAAAAAAUUUAAAAAAAUUUAAAAAAAUUGAUUUGGAACAUAAUUAAUUAGCACGGUACCAAACGCAAUUCUAUUCCAGAAUCAGAAAUUUUGGACAGUUACCAAACGGUUUCAAAUGCUUAGAAUCAGUUCCCGGAAACAUAAUAAAAAAGAAUCAGUUCUGAUCAGAAUCUACUCCUAAGAACAGAAUCGUUACCAAACGCACCCUAAGAAAGAGAGCACUGAUGUGAAACCUGAGGAGGAGAAAGAUUUUUGAAGCAGAAGAUGAUCCAGAGAGGGAUCUUGAGUACAACCCGGAUGUGGAUUGAGAUCCCAUCCCUUUUGUGAACCUUGUCUUAGUGUAGAUAGGUGUGAGACUUGCUGUAAAUAGUAUUGUAAAUAUACUAUGAGUUAUGCUAUUAAUAAAAGUGUGGUUGUGAAUUUCAAUACUAAAAAUAUGGCAUGCUUUUCUAUCCCAUUGUUUUAUUGUCUAGGGAUUUAUAACUGCUUCCGCAUGCAUAAUAAAAAGAAAUGAUCGGCGAUACUUAAUCCUAGGAUAUCGCACUUUAAAAUCGACUAAGGUGGGUGUGUGCCCAAGGAUCAGGGCAUGACAGGGCAAGCUGAGCAUGAGUUUGGACUUUGCGAAUAUGGUAUUCUAAUUGGAGUGGGCCUAGUGUAGUUUAGGGAGCCUUGGGCUUAAUUCGGUCUUACAAGAAGUCGCGCUGAGGACUUGAUUUGUUUUUCUUUGGAAAUUUGGGCUUAGAAUGAUUUUGAAUUUGGGGUCGUGGCGGCCCUAGUUGAGCUUGGGCUUGGCUUAGUUUGAUUUGGUAGGGGCUAGGGAGUGCUCAAUUUGAAAGUCCAAUUGAGCCCAUGAGCCCAGUUUCCUGAGACCAGUCGCUGCGCACAUUGGGCGGGGCCCAAGGGCCCGGCCCGGGUCCCCAUUUUCAGAUUAAAAGAAUUAUUUUUUGACAAAUUACCUUUUCUUCAAAAAGUAUUUUAAUUUUUCUAAAAAAUUAAUUAAAAAUUAAAAAAUUUCGAAUUUUUUUAUUUUUCUAAAACCUAGGAAAAAGCUUAAAAAUUAGUUUUUUUUAGUAGUUUUCUCUUAAAAUAUAUGGAAAUCUUAGAUAAAAAUUGUGUUCAAAAUUGAAUAAGCUUUUAGGGCUUUACUAUUAGAUUUGAAUGUUCCUAGAGAUAAAUGUUAGGUUGCUCCUCCCCCCUCCCCCCUCUUCUCUUCUCCUUUCCUCGAACAUAUCUUCUAAAAUAUCUCAAAUGAGUGGGUAUUAAUAAGCUGUGGUAGCUGCCAAUGCAUCAGUUGUCGACGGAUCUUGUGCCAUAUUGUGAAGUUCUAAAAGAGGAGGAGAGAGGGAGGGGGGGGGGGGGGGGGGGUUGGAGCAACCACACAUUAGUCAACGUCAAAUAUGAGGAUGUCGCCAGAAUUGCCAUGGUUAUUAUUUCUAUAGAGAAAUUUGAUAAUGUAAUUCGUAUAACUAUUUUCACACCCAGUCUUAUCUUGUGAACCUCACAGCACAAUGAAGUAGGAUCUUUUGUGUACCCAUCCUCUAAUAGCACAACAAGAAAGACCAAUGACACAAAGUAAAGGGGUGGAAUUUCGAGGAAAAUCAUGUCCCUCUCAGCCAGUGGGCAAUUGAAAUUUGGGGCUUGAUAUGUGGGGAAAGAUCAACAAGGAUAGGAUGCACAUGCAAUAUUGGCAAAUGAGAGAGAUCUUGAAUAUGAAGACUCCGGGUCGUCUAUUGAAAGGUCCGUGUGAACCAAUAAAACAAAAUCAAUCAAGUCAAGAACAUUACAGGAGUAGCGUGUAAAACCCACCAUCAUCACCAUUUCUUUAUGGCAAGAAAACAUCACAAUUGACAAUUCAUAUAUUUAGCCGUCUUACAACUUCAUUUCAUACCUUUCGAGAACUUUUAUUAGAUAAGUAAGUUAUUUCAUUUUUUUUUUGCAUGCAUAUAUGAUGUUAAUGGAUUUUUUUUUUCUAAGAUGAAACGAAAGUUGCCUUAAGAAUCAAUGUAGACCUUGAUUCAUUUUGAAUCCAUGUAAAUUAGUAAUGAUGGAUUCUGAUAAUUAAGGAUUGUAAAAUUCAAUUCGAAGGAAAAAAGAGAUGUCAAGAAAUUGAAAGAAUUAUCAACUCUAUUCAAUUAGUGUAGAAGAAAAUUCUCCAUAACUCGAUGGCAUAAAAGAUGUCAACUUUAUAGUUCUGUCAUUAUCUUUAGGGAAGAAUCUUAUCAUGUGUUCAAAAGUUUGGCAUAAUUAGAAGACUUUUCAAAUCACCAAAAAUUUUGACCAAAAAGAAAUCACCAAAAACGAAAAAGGAUAGGGUUCACUAGAAAUGGAUCCUAGUCUUACUGAUUUGACGUUUGACUCUUUUUCUACGACGGAGCCAAGAUUUAGGUUGAGGCAGCAUGAUACUUUUUGCGAAAUAUGGAGGCAAGCAUUUGUUUUUUACUGGAGAAUUUUGAAUGAAGUUACCCUAUAUAGAGUGUAUAUUAGUAAUUAAUAAGUUUAACAAAACAAAAGUUCAAUUUGAAAUUUUGUAGAUUUUGUUCUUGAUUAUUUAUAGGAAUCUAUAUAAGUAUUGUUCUUAAAUAAUGUUACCUGUGGCUGAUGUCUAGCAAGUUGAUGAAGCUUCAUUAAGUGCUCUGAAAUUCUACAAACCCAUCAAUUAAAAUCCCCCACAAUAAUCCAAGGGAAAAUUGCAAUUUUCAGACCUCGUUACUUGUCAGUUAUUUCAUGUUAAUACUAAAAUGGAAUAUGAGUUUCUUCAAAUAUAAACUUCAUAGAAUUAUUUCAUUUAAUACAUUCUUCUUUUCCAUUUUAAUAACGGUUGUCUCUCGCAUAUACAUGUAGCGUGUCUAUAUUGUAAAACGUAUGCAUGGAUAUUUUCUUUGAAAAAUGAAUAUAUAAGUCGAAAUUGGGGGGUUCUUGAUGUUGAGUAAUCACACGCCGGUAGAACCACAUUAAGUGGCAAGAUCGCGGGUUAUUAUUAGCUUUUUAAUUGGCAUUGCUCUUAAGUCACGGGAUGAGAGAGGAAAGUUCUUGAUCUCCAUCCCUUCCCCCACCGAUUUUAUCCCUGCACUCUCACCAAUUUAUCCUAUUAAAGGAGGAGGCAAGAGAGCAAAACUAUAUGAAAAACAAUGACACAACAACACUAAGGGUAGAAGAGCACAAUCUCGAAAGCAAUCACAGUCGAGCUAAACUAGCCCAAUUUCCUCCCAAAUUAUACUAGAUUAUUGGGACAUAUAACAAAUAUACAAAGCUUUUCCAGUCAAACCAUGCAUGAUUCUCUAAACAUUAUCGCUAUCUCAAAGAGAAAAACUAGCGGAAAUUAUCGGGGCACUUGAUGAAGUUCCAUGUCCGCUUUGUCACUGUUGACUAGCUCAUCUGAUGGGCAAAUGAGUGUUUUGGAGGCAUAUGAAGUUUACUAAUAUAUCUUUCAAGCAUUUCUAGGACUUUGCUCAUUGGAGGCUGAUAGUCAUAGUUUAAUUGUAUGCACCAAAGCGUAACUACUAUCAUCUUUUUCAUCACCUUCCUUUCCUCUUCUAUAACUUCUUCCAUUUCAACACUUUCUCCUUCAUUGCUUGGUCAUACACUCACAAGAGAAAAUAAAUUGGCUUGAGUCUGCAUUUACAUUCAUAUUCUUCCUUCUACCUACCAUUUCCAUGAGCAUCAUUCCAAAGCUAUAGACAUCUUAUUUAUAAGAUACACCGCCAAUGUUUUGAUAGAACAACUCAAGUGCCAUAUAUCCUAAAGUUCCUCUUGCAGCAGUCAAUGAGACUAUGCUAAAGUCUCAUGAGUCCAAAAUCAAAAACUUUCGGAGUGAAAUUCUAGUCUAAAAGAAUAUCGUGAGGCUUGAUAUCAAAAAGUAGUGUUUGCAUGUCACACCCACAAUGAAAGUAUUCCAUUGUCCUCGCCACCACAAGAGCGAUCUCAUAUAUUUUCUUAUAAUUGAGAAACUUGUUACCUUUUUUAGUGAAAAUGCACUUAUCCAAAUAUCCAUUUGACCUGAAAUCAUACACUAAAACUUGUUUCGAGCCUUCAAAGCAAAAACCAAUGAGUUGCACUACAUUAACAUGGUGAUUUCUUCCAAUAGUUGCCACUUCAUUGAUAAAAUCUUGGCCAUCGGUCUUGGAUUGCUUUAAGAUUCAAUGGCCACUUCGUUGCCGCUUUUAAGCGCUUCUUUGUACACGGAACCAUAUCCCCCUUCACCCAGUUUAUGCUUAAAAUUCUUGGUGAUCUUCUUAAUGUUUGAGUAAGAGUACCUUCUAGGCAAAAAGUUGUUAUGAGCUUACAAGAAUCAUUUGAUGUUCUCGUCCAUUGCUAAGUGCCUUGCUCUAUACUUGUAGAUUAGAAAUAUCACGACAAAUGGCAUCUUGAUUAUGAAUUUCACUGCACAAAAUUGAACUAAGGAAAAUUUUGAUAAGUUAAAUUAAGAACUUUUAUUUUUAUUACUAUGAGAACAAAUCAUUGCAGCUCACCUAGCAGUACUACAAACUCUAUAGUUGUCAAAAAGGCAAGAUCAUCCAGGACACCUGUGGAAGGAACGACUGAUGUGAAAAGGAAUCGAAGGAAAGGAAACUGAGUCGUAUAAAUUGAAUUGUGUCCAAAAGAAUAUGAGAAGGGGGAUGCGUGAAUUUGCAAAUAAAUGGAAAUAAUAAACUACACAAGAAACUCCUUUUGCUUUGUUAGCAGUCAACAAAAAAUAGAGAAACGGUCUUUACCAAAAAAAAAAAUAGAGAAACGGUGAUUUCCAUAGUUAAUUAAAAUGUUCCUCCUAUCUAUGCAUGAAUACAAUUAAGGAAUUUGCUAAUGAGUGUCUCUUGAAUUGUUAGUUUAGUAACUAAUUAAGAUUAUAAGAAAAAUCUAAACUCUAUAACAAGGAAAAGCUAGUUAUGUGGCUGCUCCUUUUCUUUCCCCUUACAUUGGGAGUUCUACGCCUUCCAUAGAAAGAAAUUAUAAUCUUGGCACGUGUAUAUGCGCAACUAAAAUCGGAUCUAUGUGUGUGUGUGUGUGUGUGUGUUUUUUUUUAGGGUGGGGGUGGCUGGUUGGGGGGUUGUAAAUUUCACGGUUACUUUGUUUAUUUAUUUUUAUUUAUUUUUUUGGAAUCUAGCAACUCCUAUAAUUUGAUUUUAACAUGUAAUACGAAGAUCCAGAAACCUUUCAAAUACAAAAAUGUUGACGUGCACUAACAUGUGUAUUUUGCAUAAUUUUAUUGGAUUUUAAAUAUUCCCUCCAUUUUCUAGUUUUGAAGAGAAAGUAUUAAUUGAAAGAAUGUACAAAAUCAUGCAAUAUUGCCGUAAACCUUCAUUGCCAACUAAUGCUUACCACCGUUGAAGUCGAAGAAGUGGGAUUGGCAAACCUGACCUCUGUAGAUGCUGUAGAAAUCAAACAAGCGAAAGAAACCCAACUUCCAUAUAGUUUGAUCAACACAGAGAACAAAUCCAUCAGCCAUGAUGUUAUGAAUACACUUGUAGUUGUAGGAGCUACUAUUAAUUUGCUCUUCAUCCUUAAAAUAAUAUGAUACCCACGUCCAAUUGUGAAUGGUGCAAAAAUCCCUAAUAUACAAUGCUUUUAGAUUGAACAAAGCAUACAAGUUCCAAUUCGAUGAUGUGUUGGAAGAAUACGCCCUCUUAAUGCAUGGACUGGUAGCGAUAUAGAAUGGAGAGCUAAUCGGCUUUAAGCACUUCACAAUGACCAAUAUACUAUUGUUGUACAUGCUGUAUGGGUUUUUAAAAUAGGAACGUUUGUUGAAGUCAUACAUUGGCCAUGAAGCAUAGGGAAGAGACAAGCAGUUACCCUUUUGUAGCUUGUUGUCCACCAAUCUGAUUUGGCGAGUGACAUAAUCCAUGGACUGCACAUAAAAUUAGCCAUUAAGGAUGUAUAGAACUGUGCAAUUAUCUUCAUAAGUCAACUCGUAAUACAAGUCACCGCAUCCUUUCGGAUUACUCUUCAACCGAAAUGGGUAAGUUAUAUUACGAAUAUCACCACAGGAUGAUGCAGUGCACCACCAACUACUCUCGACGGUGCAAGUCAUCUUUUGCAAUAGAACAAGGAGGAGUAGCAACACUUGAUAGAUAUUCAUGGAGCUGAGAGCAGUGAUCAUGUCUCUUUUGGUCUUUGGGCCAAGAGAAAUAGGUAAAGAAUUGUUUGGUGUGUGGAGUAGGCCCAUAUGCAAAGAUUGAGAAAAGAUUGGAUGAUUCUUGUUUGACUGGAGAGUUGGGAGUCGCCUAGUCUAAUAGAGAACUCAAGUCAGUCAACGGAACAAAUGGAUGGAAAAUCAAGAAAUUAAAUAGGUGGACCCAAAUCAAGGUUCCAUUAUUGGUAUUGGCGUUGUCUUGUGCAUGGCCAGUGGCUAUCCCUUUUUGACCCCUUUGAUUAUGAAAAUGCUAGUAUUACCAUCUAGAGAGGGGUGACUAGGUGAAUAGGCGUGAAAAACAAAUUAAGCCCAUAAAAGCAGUAAAGGUUAUUUUUGCAAGCAAAGUCUGACUAAAACUAACACCAGACUUCUUAUAUAAGUUCUGACUAAAAUAAGAUGGUUUAUAAGUUAGCAGAACUCAUAAAAAGAUUGUAACAAACAAAUCAAAAGAGUUAAAAGAAGAGAAAAUUAGACAUGAGAUUUAUAGUAGUUUGGCUUAAAUCAAGUUUACGUCCACUCUCCCACGCUGAUAGCCUUCUAACUAAAUUUCACUAAGGUAUCAACAGAGAAGUAUAACAAUUUGAGUACAAACACUAGGUGAAGAAUUUCUUUUUCUCUCACUAAGUCACUCCUCUUCUGUUUUUCUCUCUUAAAUACAAUUUGUAAGUACUGUUGAUGAAGAACAAGUGAUUGGAAAGGUCUCAAACUUUGGAAUUUUAAUUUUCACGCACUGUCCCAAAUGGACUGAAUGACCUAAUUAAAUACUCCUCUACGUCUUUCUAACCAUUGGAAAUCUCCAGAGGAAUUUCUUCAAAUCAACUUGUUGGACAUAAUUCGUUAAGGAAAUCUUGUAGCCAUUUAAAGAUUGAGGUGAAAAUCCGAUGAUUCUGGUCACCCAUACAAUCAAAAUCUAGGUUUCCAUAAGUAUAUGUUUCCCAAAAAGGAACUUGUCUUCGAGAUUGAUUUCAUCAACUCAUGAUUGAUUUCAUCAAUAUAUUUAGAAAAUGUAAAUAAGAUUCUUUGCCAUAAAGCCAGAUAUUAAGGAUAAAUCUUGUACGUAUUGAAUCAUUAUCGAAAGAUCAAUAAUCAUAAGUCUGAUUAUAUCUCCGUUCUUGAAUGGGUUCAGUUUGGAUCUCGUCGAAGUGAGAAAGACUUCUGGAGUAAAUAGAGUUUGACAACAUUUUAUGAUAUAGCACAAAAAUCUAGUAUUCUUCAAAAUAAGAAUAAGAAUAAGAAUAGGAAAGUUUUGUCAACUUCAAGACCUGAUAGGAGUUUUCUCAACAAUCUCCUCAUUUUUUAUGGGGACAAAACUUUCAUGCAGAUUUAAUCAUAAUAUGAAAAUUAUAUCUUACAAAACAACAUUUUAGCAGCACAUGAUAAUUGAUAAAGAGAAUAGAAAGUAAUUGUAAUAAAUACCCGUAGUAGUCUACAUAUAGUCUGCAUCCACAAAACACAUCAGUCUGCAAAACAUACCAAGAAAAGUUCCAACACAAGUUCAAACAUAAUCACAAGUCAAAGAUCAGAUUCAAAAAUAAGAUUCAAAAGAUUCAAUCUGCAUAGUUUCUCACCCUUUUUGUCAGCAGCAAAAAGAUAAAACUAGUUAGGCAUAAAAAGAGGUCGGGUAAAAAAAAAAAAAGGAUCAAGGUUGUUUGGGAACAUGAAUAAGUCAAAAAUUCUCCAAGGUCUACACGGUCUCCUUAAGCUUAGUCAGGCACUGAUGAUAAACAGUCUCAAUUUUCGCCAGAUUCUGCAAAACCUGCUAAUUCAAAGUUUGGAUCUAAUUAUCAAGAGAUUGUACCUUGCCUGUAAAAGACUCAGAGGUAGUACCAAGAGUAGCAUGUAACUUCUGAAUUUCAAACUNNNNNNNNNNNNNNNNNNNNNNNNNNNNNNNNNNNNNNNNNNNNNNNNNNNNNNNNNNNNNNNNNNNNNNNNNNNNNNNNNNNNNNNNNNNNNNNNNNNNNNNNNNNNNNNNNNNNNNNNNNNNNNNNNNNNNNNNNNNNNNNNNNNNNNNNNNNNNNNNNNNNNNNNNNNNNNNNNNNNNNNNNNNNNNNNNNNNNNNNNNNNNNNNNNNNNNNNNNNNNNNNNNNNNNNNNNNNNNNNNNNNNNNNNNNNNNNNNNNNNNNNNNNNNNNNNNNNNNNNNNNNNNNNNNNNNNNNNNNNNNNNNNNNNNNNNNNNNNNNNNNNNNNNNNNNNNNNNNNNNNNNNNNNNNNNNNNNNNNNNNNNNNNNNNNNNNNNNNNNNNNNNNNNNNNNNNNNNNNNNNNNNNNNNNNNNNNNNNNNNNNNNNNNNNNNNNNNNNNNNNNNNNNNNNNNNNNNNNNNNNNNNNNNNNNNNNNNNNNNNNNNNNNNNNNNNNNNNNNNNNNNNNNNNNNNNNNNNNNNNNNNNNNNNNNNNNNNNNNNNNNNNNNNNNNNNNNNNNNNNNNNNNNNNNNNNNNNNNNNNNNNNNNNNNNNNNNNNNNNNNNNNNNNNNNNNNNNNNNNNNNNNNNNNNNNNNNNNNNNNNNNNNNNNNNNNNNNNNNNNNNNNNNNNNNNNNNNNNNNNNNNNNNNNNNNNNNNNNNNNNNNNNNNNNNNNNNNNNNNNNNNNNNNNNNNNNNNNNNNNNNNNNNNNNNNNNNNNNNNNNNNNNNNNNNNNNNNNNNNNNNNNNNNNNNNNNNNCACCUACUCCCCCCUGUCUUGGUGCCUUUAGUCUGAGAAGUAACUUCUUUUUCUUGAACAUUUUCUUUGCCAGCACGAGUUUGUUUAUCAAUUCCCAUCUCCUCAUCAUCUAGAGCAUCAAUUUCCCUUGUAUCUUCUCAUUCCUUGUCAAUCUCAUCAUGUUCUUUGUUCACAUCGGCAUCUCCAUUUGAGUCAUCAUCCUUAAUCUCUUUCACUUUAGUUUUUUUGCCAUCACUCUCUUCUUCUAGUUUCCAAACUUAUUCUUUUGCCACCUGCAAAUUCUUGUAUAAUAGAUAAUAGUCUUUGCAAAAAUAUCAUGUAAUACCUUCUUUCAAUUUGCAGAUCGAAUUUGAUAGAUAUAAGAUAUCUUCUAAGAAUAUAGUAAGAGUAUCCAUGAAAAUGCAAUAAUAUCUUUCAUGAUUAAAGAGAUUUCAUUGAGCAAAAAUCUCAAAAGCAUAUCAUUUAUGCAUUUUGCAAAAGAAAAGCAAAUAUUUCUAUUAUGUGCCAAAUCAAGUAAUAAAAAUAUGCAAUACCUUAUGUUUAUGACAAAAGAUAUUUACAAUAUAAAUCAUAUAUAAUUCAUAAGCAAUCAUCUAGAAUCUUCAUAAAUUCAAGUAGAAUUUUGAAAGGCAAGAUGAUAUAUUCGAAAUUUUAUAUUCUCUUACCCAAGAUAUAUGUUUGAAAUAUACCAUUGAAUUAAAGAUGAUCAUUGUCAAUCUUCACUUGAGAUAUUCUUCUUAUUGCACCAUGAUUUGGGCAGAUUUUCGAUGAUUCUUCCCCUGUAGAAUUUCUUGCAAUGAGGUCAUCUCCUUUUUGGUAUCCAUGAAUUUGGAUCCUUCAUUUACGUUAGAGCAAAAAAUGGAGUCUUCAUAAAUAAUCUAAUAUUCUUUCUAAACUCAUCAUACUGUAUUGAAGGGAGAAUAUUUUGCAUAAUGAAUUAAUAUCUCAAAAAACAAAUUUCCACUUUGCAAAAUAUGACAAAAUUACAGAGCAUAAAAUCAAAAUAAAUAAACUUAGUUAUCUCUAAGCAAGAUAUUAAAAAAAAUCACAUGUUUUAAAUCAAAUCCCAUCUUAUGAAUCACCAAAAAAAUAUCACACGAUUCUUCCUUCAAUACAACCUAUUGUAGAAUACGGUCAUGAUAAAGUCUAAAUCAAUCAAGGCACAAAGAUGAUAUAUCAUAUAUCAAGUAUAAUGAGAACUUAUAAAAAAAUUAAAUUAUGUACCCAAACCAAAUUGAGAAUUUAAAAAAUAUACAUUCCUUACCAAAUUCUCUUUCUAUUUUCCUUUAUUCCCUGCAAAAACAACUCAUCUUUUCUUUGGUACCCAAAUUUGUUUGAGUCCAUAAGAGUUAGUAGAAUAUCCUAUUUAUAUCCAAUCUCUCUUAAUUUGUCUCUAGACUUUAGGACAUCCAUUCUCAAAGUGUCUAGAUCUCUACAUUUAGAAUACUCUAGAGCAUUUCGGCUAACAGGUUUUAUAAAGACUUUUUGAAUAUGUUGUUUAUAAGCAACUCUAGAAGGUUUUUGUCUGAGUCUCUCCUUAACUUUAAGGUACUUAUAUGAAAAUGAAAUGCUCUAAUGUUUUUAAAUCCUUUGAAAAAAAUUUCAAAAUAUUUGAAAGUUCUUUCUUUGAAGAAUCAUUUUCUUUGACAAGUAAAUCUAGACUUCCUUUUGUUUGUAGAAAAUCUUUUUGCAAAAUUUCAAACUUCUCUUUUUGAGAAAGAUCCUAUUGCUUAAGCCACAAGUUCUCAUUUUUAGUUCAGAGAUCCUUUUAAGAGCAGACUUGAGAUUCAAGCACAAUUCAUUAAUAUAUUUAGAUAGCUUAUGAGGGAGUUCAGAGAUCCUAUUCUGCAGUUCUUUCUUCAUCUGCUUCUUUCCUCAUUGUUUCCUUCUCUUCACUCCUCUGCUUUGUUUCUUCUCUGUCUUGGUCCUCUCUCUCUUUAGUCUUUGGAACAAAACGUUAUAAGUUCCUUAAAGCAAGAGCGAAAAUGGUGAUAUCUUCCUCAUUUUCUUCAUUUGGCAAGAUGAGUGCUCUUCUUUUCUUGGAUGGAGCUAUUAUAGGCUCCUUGCCUUUCCGUUUUGCAGCCGCAAAAUCUUGACGAGUCUUGACAGGGGUCUUCUCCUUAAAUCUCUUUAAAGCCUUGUUUAGCUCAUUCAGACGCAUUUUUGAAACCAUCUUCAGUCCCACCACCAUUUGAUCACAGGUUCGAACACACAGAAUUUUGGGAGGCUGAAUAUUAAAAUGUCUGAAUAGCUAAGUAACAAGUGUUGAAUAAGGAAGUUGGCCCUUAUGCUUCACCAUUGAUCUAUAUAUGUGAAACAUGAUAAUGUAUGGCAGAGAGAACUUUUUACCAACAUUGAUAGCAUACAUCAGCUUUGCUUCUGAAUUGGAGACAUCAAUCUUUGAUGUCAAUUUGGAUCUAAGACAGUUAAUCACAAUCUUGUGAAGCAAGACAUUUGAGGCAUUCAUCCUCAAGUAUGAAAUUCGACCUUCUGCUAUUCCAUCCCGAACAAGCUCCACAGUUGCAUGACCAACAUACACACUAAUUGAUUGGAACACCCCUCUCUCUACUCCAUUCACAUCAGCCAGAGUGUCCAUAUCAACUACAUAAUCUUGGUCUCUAACACUGAAGGAAAAUCUAUUUGCAUCCAAAAAGCUUAGAUUGGAAUAGAAAUACGUAGUAAGUUUAGGAUGAGCCACUGUUGUCUCAGAGCAAAAUCGUUCAAGUAAAGUAAAUUUAUCUAGCAACUUCACGUUCAAAGAGUCGAUAAAAUCAAAAUCCACACUCCUUGGGUUCAUCACCCCUUACUUCAGCAACUUAGAAUAAAGGAGCUUAUGUUCCUCAAAACGAAACAGAUCUGUCAUUUUUUCUCGAAUAUUCGCAGCAACACCCAUUCUAGGCAUAAAAUGAGUGAACAUCUUUUCAUCAUCAUUUCCAUCAGGUUGACUAAGUCAUCCAACACGUGGAUCACUUGGGACAUUCGCAAAAGCUCUUUCUGCCGAGCCCGCAGGAGUAAUUCCCAAACAUUCCAUUGUUCUUAAGAAAUGGGUUUCAUUUCGGUACCCAUUUUCUUUCACAAAUUCAUCAAUAAAGUUCAAUGGAGAACCUCCAACCUUUAAGGCAGAGUAGAGUUUGAAGGUAAAAGCAGGCUUUUGAGUUCUUACAGGUUUGGCAUCCUCAAUAAUUUCUUCUGCUUCUUGCUGUCGCUGAACAUUCUAUGGUCUAGCCUGAGGAAAAUGGCACGGUUGAGAAUGUUGUGGACUCUACUGAUGCCUUGGAGAUUCUUCUUCCUCGGUCAGGUCAAAAUGCGUAGGACCCUCACGCAUAUGCUGUGGUCCCCUACUUGCAAUCCUUGAUGACUUUCUUUGGGAAGCCAUCAUCACAGUCUUUGAGAGAGUUUCCAAAUUCGAUUCGCGAGAAAGAUGAUAAUUUUAAGGAUUAAAUUAGAGAGAAAAAGUAAGAAAGUGAAGUUCUUUGCUUCUAGGGUUCGUGAAGAAGACGAUCAGUAUAUAAGGCAGUCGAAACGAGGUAUACGGAUCGUCGUAAAAGGAAAAAAUAGAAAAUGUCUUUUAAAAAAAUAACUACCUUUUUAAAAAUAGAUAACUGUCAUUUCAAAAAGAUAACUUCUUUUUUGAAAAAGAAUGAUUGCUAUAAUUACAAAAACUUGGAAAGAUAAUAUCAAUCAAUUGCAGAUUAAUAGACAAUCAUACCUUUUCGAGAUUUUAUCCAAACAAUAAAUCUCUAAAACUAAAAUAACUUACAAUCGUGAUCCUUGAUCUUCUAAGUUUGAGCAAAUUUAGACUUUUAUCCCUGAGUCUGAGCUUCUUCGGACUUUAAGAUAUUAAGUCUCAAACGAAUAUACUCAAAUUGACUCUUCUCCAGUGGCUUUGUAAAAAUAUCCGCUAGCUGAUUCUUUGAGUCAAUGAAUUGAAUCAAUACUUCUCCAUUUUGAACAUGGUCUCUAAUAAAAUGAUGUCGAAUCUCUAUAUGCUUUGUUCUUGAAUGAAGAACUGAAUUUUUGGUGAGAUUAAUUGCACUGGUGUUGUCACAUUUGAUCUCAGUGCAUGAAUCUUCAAUUCCAAAGUCUCUUAGCUGUUGUUUUAUCCAUAAGAUUUGAGAACAACAACUUCCAAGAGCCUCAUAUUCUGCUUCUGCUGUUGAGAGAGCUACAAUACUUUGCUUUCUUGAAAACCAAGAUAUUGUCCUAUUACCAAGCAAUUGACAAGUGCCCGAUGUGCUCUUUCUAUCAACUUUGCAUCCAGCUAGAUCUGCAUCUGAGUAUCCAAGGAGGGUAAAAUCUCAUUCUUUGGGAUACCAUAGACCUAACUUGGAGGUUGUUGUAAUGUAUUUGAUGAUGCGUUUCGCAGCACUCAGAUGAGAUUCUUUGGGAUCUGAUUGAAAUCUGGCACAAAUGCAAACACUAAACAAAAUGUCUGAUUUAGAGACAGUAAGAUAAAGAAGUGAACCAAUGAUACUCCUGUAUAGCUUCUGGUCAGCUUUCUUUUCUCCUUCAUCUUUGUCCAGCUUCAAAGAACUUGACAUUGGUAUGUCAAUCUUUUUGCAAUUCUCCAAACCAAACUUUUUAACAAGUUAUUUAGUAUAUUUUACUUGGUGAAUGAAGAUCCCUUACUUCAUUUGUUUUACUUGUAGUCCAAGAAAGAAUGAUAGUUCACACAUCAUGCUCAUCUCGACUUCAUCCUGCAUAGACUUAGAGAAUUUCUUGCACAGAUUUUCGUUAGGUGAUCCAAAAAUAAUAUCAUCAACAUAAAUUUGAACAAGUAAAAAGUUUUUACUUUCUCUUUUAAUAAACAGAGUAGUGUCUACUUUACCUUUAACAAAGCCAUUUUAAAUUAAAAACUUACUUAACAUGUCGUAUCAAGCUCGAGGUGCUUGCUUUAAACCAUAUAGUGCCUUUUUCAGUCUGAAUACAAAGUAUGGUUUUCUUGGGUCUUCAAAACCGGGAGGUUGUUCCACAUAGACUUCCUCUUGGAUAAAUCCAUUCAGAAAUGCACUUUUGACGUCCAUUUAGAAUAACCUGAAAUUUUUAUAACAAGCAAAAGCAAGCAAUAAUCUAAUUGCUUCUAACCUUGCUACUGGUGCGUAAGUCUCAUCAUAGUUUAUCCCUUCUUCUUGCGUAUAUCCUUUGGCCACGAGUCUUGCUUUGUUCCUUAUAACUUUUCCUUUUUUGUCCAUCUUGUUCUUGAAAACCCAUUUAGCUCCAAUAACAUAUUUACCUUUUGGUUUAGGAGUCAAUUUCCAAACAUCGUUAAUACUGAAUUGUCUAAGUUCUUCUUGCAUAACUUCAAUCCAGCUUUCAUCAGAUAAAGCUUCUUCUAUGCUUUUGGGUUCUAUUUCAGAAAUAAGAGCCACAGUGCUAGACUCUUCACACCUUUUGGAUCUUGUACGAAUCCCUUCAUCAAUGUCACCAAUAAUGAGUUCUCUGGGAUAACUAGACUUGUGCUUCCAGUUGCUGGUUGGUCUGACAGACUGCUGAUCUUUUUCUUCAAUUGAUUCUUCAUUGUUUGUUCGUUGAUGAUCAAUUGAAGUCUAAGCUGCUUCUGGGGAUUUAGACUUUGUAGAGUCUGGAGCAGGUUCAGAUUCUUCAGGUUGAGUCUAGAUCGAUUGAUUUUGUAUAAGGUCUUGAAAUUUGACAUUCAUCGAUUCUUCUAUAGAUUGAGUUUUUUUGUUGUAUACUCUGUAAGUUUUGCCGGUGGUUGAAUAUCCAAGGAAGAUGCCUUCGUCUGAUUUUUCUUCAAACUUACCAAUUCGAUCAUUUGCAUUUUUCAAUAUAAAACAUUUGCAACCAAACACAUGAAAAUAGGAAACAAUUGGCUUCUUUCCUUUGAACAAUUCAUAGGGAGUUUUCUUCAGAAUAGGCCUUAAGAAGACUCUAUUAAUAACAUAACAUGCUGUAGAAACUACUUCAGCCUAAAAACAAUAAGAAAUGUUGCUUUCAAUUAAAAGUGUUCUAGCCAUUUCUUGCAGCGAUCUAUUCUUCCUUUCCACAACUCCAUUCUUUUCGGGAGUGUAUGAAGAGGAGAACAUAUGCUGAAAACCAGAUUCAUCACAAAAUUUAGCAAAGUCUUAAUUUUCAAACUCACCUCCAUGGUCUAUCCGUAUACUUGAAAUAACAUACCCUUUCUCAUUCUGUAAUUUCUUAGCAAACUUUAUAAAAUAAGAAAAAGUUUCAGACUUACUUGCCAGAAAAUAUACCCAAGUAAAUCGUGAAUAAUCAUCCACUAUUACUAAGCAAUAUUUAUUUACACCAAUGCUAUGAGUCUUAGUUGGUCCAAAGAGAUCCAUACGUAGGAGCUGCAGCACAUGAUUAUUGGAAACUUGAUUUAUUGGUUUAAAAGAAUUUCUAACCUGUUUUCCCAACACACGUGGUGUGCAUAAUUCAAAUUUUUGGUUUGUCAGAUUAGGUAGUCCACGAACAAGCUUCUUUGAAGAGAUCUUGGCUAUUUGCUUCAUGUUAAUAUGGCUUCAUGUUAAUAUGGCCAAGUUUUCGAUGCCAGAGAUUAGCUUAUUCUUGAAUUGAAAUUAGACAUUGAGAUUUUUCUGGUUUGAUAUCUAAUAGAUAGAUGUUUCCAUGUCUUCGCCCUAUGAAGGUCUAAGAGAAGUCUUUACUAGUUCCCAAAGAUAUUCCUUCUUGAAAAUUGAUUUUAAAACCUGUGUCGCACAGUUAGCUAAUACUCAACAAGUUGUAGUUGAGUCCUUCCACUAAGGAAACGUUGUUGAUUGUGAGACUUCCAAUUUUUAUUGUUCCGCAUCCGACAAUUCUUCCUUUACUAUUUCUACCAAAAGAAACUUUUCCACCAUUAACUUGCAUAAGCUUUAUGAAGCAACUUGAGUCUCCUGUCAUAUGUCUUGAGCAUCCACUAUCCAAGUACCAUUUGACCUUUUUCCUAAUAAUGACCUGCAUUUAUAAAGAAACUCAAGUUUUAUUUGGUACCCAUACUUUCUUGGGUCCAAUGGAGUUAGUGCAAUAUACGGUCUUUGCCCAAUCCUUCUUAAUAGGUCUCCAAAUCAUAGGACAUUCUUUCUUAAAGUGUUCUGAGCUGUUGCACUUAGAACAUUUAAGAGCACUACCGCCAACAGGUUUUACAAAGACUUUUUGAAAAUGAUUUAUAUAAAAGUCUUUUGUAGGUCUUUGUUUGAUUCUAUCCUUUACUUUUGGAAAAUCAAUUAGAUGAAUUGUUUCAUAAGUCAUUUCCAAUCCUGAUUUGUUAAAGUAAGGUCUUUGUGCUGAAAGAAUCUUUUCCAAUUUCUCAGACCCUAUAGAAAACCUUUUUGAAAAACUUGAAAUAUCAUUUUUCAAAAGUGUGUUUUCUUUUGAAAGAGAGUUUGCAUUUUCUUUCAAAGUAAUAAGACUUUUAUCUAAAUUUUUGACAUUUUCUUUCUAAACAAUAUCCUGUUGUUUUAAUGCAGAAUUUUCCCUUUUUAGCUCGGAAAUCCUCUUGAGAGAGGUUUUGAGACUAAGACACAGUUCAUCAAUAUAUUUAGAGACUUUAGUAGGAAUUUUUAAAUUACUUAUCUCGAUUUCACUGUCUGAGUUUGAGUCUGUAUCUGUCUCAGAGUCUAAAUCUGAUUUUGAUUUUGCCAUUAAACAAAUAUUAAUAUAAUCAUCAUCACUCUUUUCGCACUCGGUAUCACUCCAAGUUUCUGCUUUGAGUGCAUUUCUAUAUUUCUCAGCUUUUCCUUUCUUUUUCUUUAGCAAUGGACAGUUGGGUCUGAUGUAUCCCUUUUUCUUGCAUUCAAAACAAAUCACAUCUUUAUUGGAUUCAUCGUCCUCAGCUGAUUUAUUUUGAAUCUUCUGAGAACUUUGUUUCUUCCAAUUGAAUCUUCUUCCAUUUUUGUUCAGUUUUCUGAACCUUCUUAUCAUGAGAGCAAGCUCUUCAUCGUCCAUAUCGUCUUCAGAAUCUGUAACAUCAUAAUCAUCAUUAGAUUUUAAAGCAAUAGAUUUUUUACCUUUGGGAUCUUCAUCUUCAUUGAUUUGCUCCACUUCAUAAGACUGAAGAGUGCCAACAAAUUCGUCAACGGAGAGUGGCAUGAUCCUUUGUGUCUCCCAUAUUGAGGUCUUUAUGUAAUUCCAAUCUUUUGAAAGUCCACGCAGCAGUUUGUACCUUCAUGGGUCUAGAGAUUGGUUGAUCUUGAUACUCAAGACCAUUCACGAUUUCUGUAAAACGACUAAAUAUGUCAGUGAUAGAUUCUCCUAGUUUCAUCUUGAAGGCUUCAUAUUGACCGAGAAGAAUAUUGAUUCUAGUUUCUUUCACUCGAUUGGUUCAUUCAUAGGUGAUGUGCAGCCUAUCCCAAACUUCUUUAGCUGUUUCACAAGAAGAUAUUCUAUUAUAUUCAGUAGGAGAUAAUGCACAAUAUAAGGAAUAAAUUGCUUUUACAUCAAGAGCUUGUCUUUUGGUUAUCUCUUCUUGAGUCAUCUCGCUAGCCUCAACAACUUCUUUUCCCCUUUCUGAGAUUGUUGUAGCUUUAGGAAUGAUUCCUUUAUCUACCACAUCCCAUUCCAAAGGAUCUUUUGAUCUUAGGAAUGCCUUCAUCUUGUUUUUCCAUAUACUGUAUUCAUUUCCAUCAAAAUAAGGCGGUCUGGUGUUGAUUUGCCCCUCAACCAAACCUGGAGCCAACAUACUAGCCAUGUAUCGUUAACUCUGAAGUAAAAACACUUCGAUUUAAAUGAGUACAUAGGCUCUGAUACCAAUUGAAAGUGCUAGUAUGAACACCUAGAGGGGGGUGAAUAGGUGUAAAAACAUAUUCUACAAAAUACAGUGAAAACCUUUACUUUUAACCUGAGUCUGAAUAAUAACAGACUUUGAGCGAGAUCAGAUUUUAGCAGUUAAAUAGAAUUACGAACAAAUUAAAGAGAUUUAGGGAAGAGAAUAAGAACACAAGGUUUAUAGUAGUUCGGCUUAAUCCAAGCCUAUGUCCACUCUCCCACACUGAGAGCCCACCGGCUGGAUUUUACUAUAAAUCAAAAGAGUCGUUAUAGUAUCACGUCCUUGAUUCCACAAUGUAGAAAUUCUGCUACACUUAUUCAAGGCAUCACAAAUGUCUAAACUCUCUUUUAAGUACAAAUUUAUGCUCAACAAUUGAAUCAGCAAAGAACAAUGAACUUCAAACUUUGGAAUUUAUCUAUCGUGCACACACUCGAAUAACUAGAGCGUCUUCCUUAUAUACUCCUCCAUGCCUUUAUAACCGUUGGCACAUUCCAAAGGAGUUCUUCCAAUCUACCCGUUGGACAUAAUCAAUUAAGAGAUCGUGAGUUACUUAAGAAUGUGAUGAUAGCCCACCAAUCCUGCUCGCCCAUACAAUCAGGAUCUAAGUUUCCAUAAGUAGAACCUUCCAAGUAUACUUCGCCAAUCAACGGAUCUAAAUUACCCGAAUUAAUUUCAAAACGAAUAAUAGAUCUUGAGAUGCUAUCUCCAACCGUGAGAUCUUUUUUAGUCGCUCGAAACAAAUCCUUAAAGAGAUACUCAAUUCUGGAUAAGUCUUCUUCGUCGAUCUAGAAACUGUCAUUGAGGGCAGACUUUAAAUCUUGAAUUUGGUGGUCUGGCGAUCUUCAGACUUUGACGAAAGAGUCUGCAAGUCUUCAGACUAGACUGCUGGGAACAUUUUAUCAGCUUCAAAACAAAUAAGGAAGUUUUCUCCAACAAUGUAGAUUUUAUGAAUGAUUUCAUUUUGUUUUUCCACACAUUGUAUUAUUUUCCAUCAAAAUACGGUGGCCUGAUAUUGUUUUGCCCUUCCCUAAGUCCUGGUGCUAAGAUACUAGCCAUAGAAAAUCUUUAGUUCAGAAGUAAAAACACUCUAAAAAGACAAGCACGAGGUCUUAAUACCAAUUGAUGAACCUAAUACGAACACCUAGAGAAGGUGAAUGGAUGUUUAAAAGAAAUCUUGACAAAUAAUUGUGAAAUAAAAUAAGUUACACGUAAAGUCUGAAUGAAGAACAUAAUUAAUUUUGCAAAACAUCAGACUUUGGUAGAAAUUCAGAAUCUAUUAUGUGAUGGAAUCGACUUCUGAGAUAACUCGUAAUAGUGUAAUAGACUUAAGUAAAGAUAUAAGAGAUAAGAGAAUUGCACACAUAUUUUAUAGUGGUUCGGCUUAGAUUAAGCCUACGUCCACUAUCCCACACUUAUAGCUUGCUGAUUGGAUUUUACUAUAUGAUCAACUAGAGAUUACAACUUUGAGUACAAACGCUCAAUGGUAGAUUACAUUAUCUCACUAAGUCACUUUUUUGGUAUUUUUCUCGUGAUUAAAAAUGUUUAAGCUCAUGAAAGACAAGUGUAUGAUCGAAGUUCACUCAAACUUUGGAAUGUUAGAUUCCAUACUUUGUCUUUUACUUGUUUCUCAGUUCUUGGUUUCCUUAAAUACUCAUCCACUUUCAAACUAGUCGUUAGACAGUAUCUAGAGGAUCGUCUUCCAAUCUACCCAUUGGAAAGAUCUGUAUCAAGAAAAUUAGGCAGCUGUUGAAUAAUAGAAGUAGAAUCCCCAGUUGAUUAUGAUCGGCCAUAAAAACAUAAUUUUAGUUUCCAUAAGUAGGGCUUCUCCAUUUAGAAAGUUCUUAUUUUCAAAAUUCUAUUGCCAAUCAAUUAGAUUGAGUCAAUCAAAUCUAUCAUGGUGUAGAAUCCAAACUAGAUUACUAGCUGUUAUACGUUUUAGGCUUGUGUCACAUUCUGUCAAGUUAUCUUGUUCGGAACUUACUUCGUUCUAAACAUGUCACAUUUUAGAUCACAUUUUGUACUUGUCUCGUUUGGAACCUAUCACGUUCUGGACCCGUCACAUUCUAGACAUUGUCAUGUCUUAAACUUGUAUCUCGUUUUGUGUGUAACGUCUGAGAGUGUUUUGUUUGAAGAGACUUUACAACCUGGACUUAAGUAUGAACAAAUCCAUCCUUAAAAUUUGUGUCUUCUAAUUUUUUCAAGCAUAAUCCUUGACAAUGUCCUUUUUACAUUAUAUCAUCUGUAUUAUAUGUUAUUUAAUCAUUAAACACGUUAGUAGCCUUUGAUAUGUUUUGUCAUUUUCAAAACAACAUAAAGGAUUUCCCUAAUAAUUAACAUAAGUUAACCACUAUUAUUAAUAAUUAACAAAAUUUUAGACAAUUUAUAACACCCAUCAACUAUUAAGAUGACAAUAAUCAAAUUAAUAUUGUUCUACUAUUAGUGUACACAUAAUUCAAUUCACACGUUGGACUCAGGACGACUUAAUUUUACAGAAAUUACCCAUCGUGUUCCACAAAAUUUGCGAUUUGACUAAAGUUUUCACGUGUUCCUUCGAAGGCAAAUAAUACUUAACUUCAUAAUCUAAAUAUCAUUAUUAUAACGCAAAUUUCCUCGAAUAUUAUAGUAUUACAAUCAUGAUAAUUUCUGAAGUCACAUGCAUUAUCGGGAACGAAACAAACCCGAAUAACCACCACGAAACAAUAAUCAUUAGGGAAAAAAACAUCUUCAAGCAUAUGAACGGAAGUGUCGACCGCUUCAAACUCCACGUGAUUAUUGGCAUACCAAGAGAUCAUGGAACUCUAAGAAACCAAGUCCCUUUUAUUACCCAUGUCCCUAAAAAUCCCCUCCACCUCAGCCAGUCAUUGGAUUUUGAGUAGAGACUGAUGAGCGAGUUGAGGAUCCCGAGUCAGGCUCGAGCUUGGACCGAGCUAGCGCGCGAUGGACACGCCUCCCGAGCUCAAACACGCUUUAGCGAAUGCAGAGGUGGCUGCCAUCGAGGUGGGUGAUCAGGCGGCGGUCGAGGCGCGAGGUUGUUUCAGCGGGAUGGAGAGAGCUUGAUAUUGGACGGUGGAGAGGAGCGCGAGCCUCAGUGCUUCAUUCAAGACGAGCACAGUAUGUCAUAUUAUGAGCACUUUGGAAAUGAGAAAUCUAAAAAGAUAGCCAUGAGGCAAUUCUUCUACAAACAUAGGAAUAAUCGUACGCUGAAGUCAUCUUUAUUUUGCGUUUCAGACAUACACAGGAAUUACAUGAUCAAUUUUGCUUCUGAUGCUACAACCUUUAUUUCGCACUUCGGUCAUACAUGGAGAAAAGAAAAUCAAACAACACACGAUGUAUACUCAUUGCUAUUCAAAAUUUCGCAUCCAUUGGAAAUUGUCAGAUCGCUCGACAAAACCAAGAAUGAUUCAAGUUCUAUUUUAGAGUUGACAUCAUUAGUAGGUUUCUCGGAUGGAUAAAGAAGCGGCUUCGGAGGCAGUUGCAUUUUAUCAAUAUCUCCUUCAAGCAUGUUUAAGACCUUGCUCAUUGAUGGCCGAUCAUUAGGGAUUAGCUGUAUACACCAAAGGGCAACUAUUAUCAUCUUCUUUGUUAUCUCUCUUUCCUCUUCUACUUCUUCCAUUUCAACCCCAUUUUCUUUGCUAAGUUGAUCAUGAACCCACAUAGGGAAAUAAAUUUGACUUGAGCGCUCCACAUUUGAAUUAAAAUUUCUCCUCCUAGUGGCCAUUUCCAUUAGCAACAUCCCAAAGCUAUAAACGUCGGCUUUAUAAGAGACAUCACCAAUAUCCUUGUAGAAUAGCUCGGGAGCUAUAUAUCCCAAGGUUCCUCUUGCAGCAGUCAAUGACACUAUGCCGUGGUCCGUAGGAUAAAGUUUUGCAAGACCAAAGUCAGAAACUUUGGGAGUGAAAUUUUGAUCUAGAAGAAUAUUGUGAGGCUUGAUGUCAAAGUGUAGAAUUUGCAUGUUGCAUCCCCGAUGUAUAUAUUCUAUUCCCCUAGCCACACCAAGAGAGAUCUCAUAUAUUUCCUUAUAAUUAAGAGAAUCAUCGCCAUCUUUAGAGAAAAUGUGCUUAUCCAAAGAUCCGUUCGACAUGAACUCGUAGAUGAGAGCUUGCUUAGAAUUGUCAAAGCAAAAACCAACAAGUUGAACCACAUUAACAUGGUGGAUCCAUCCAAUAGUAGCCACUUCGCUUAUAAAAUCUUGGCCGUUAGAUUUUGGUUUGUUCAAAAUCUUAACAGCAACUUCAUGACCACUUCUAAGUAUUCCUUUGUACACCAAGCCAUAUCCUCCUUCACCUAGUCUGUAUCUGAAAUUUCUUGUGAUUUUCUUGAUAUCUGAGUAAGAGUACCUUAUGGGCAAAAAAUUAUUAUGAGCUUGAAGAAAUUCUUCAAUGUUUUUGUCCACUGCUAGGUGCCUUCUCUUCCACUUAUAGAUUAAAAUUGUCAACACAAAUGGAGCUCCGAGUAUGAAUUUUGUAACGACAAAGUGGCCUGAGGAAAAAUUGUUUUUAUAGAUUAAUGUAGUGUGGUAAUUUGUUGCACAUAGAAAGUUAUUUAUUUAUUUAUUUGGUUAGACUGCUGAGAUCUUCAUAACAGUGAGAGUAAAGGACUAGUCAUACCGAAGACAAAGGCGAGAUUCGAAACUGCAUUUAGCGCGACAUUAUCCAUGAUACCCCGCGAGGAAUUAUCUGGACAAAGCAACAGAAUACAUUCAAGAUGACUGAAUUGAGUUAAUUAGAAGUAACGACCAAUCAAUGAAGAAGCAAAUCUAUCAUUUUAAAAGCUACAACCCAAGCAAAAAAUAGGGACAGACAAUCAGCGCACAGACACUUUUGUUCAUUGAAUUGGAGAAGUCUUGAUUAAAGAAGAGUGAAUGAGUCGCUUUCCUAUAUAGCGCUCAAAUCGAACUUUAAUCUAUUCACUUUUUCUUUUUCCCUCUUGAAGCAAGAGGAUUUCGCUUUUUUCCCCUAGAUGUACCCCAUGAUUCAUAAGUUCCCGAAUCACUCGUGCACAGCUCUAAUCUACAAACAUCAUCCAUUAUGUCCGCAAUUCAUUCACCCGCAUAAAUAAUGACAGCCACGCAAGGGACACGAGCUAAUAUCUCAUUAAAUACUAUUCCCAAACAAACAUUAAGGAUCCAGAAAAGCUCCAUGGUCUGUAAAAUAAAAAAGAGCUUCACUAAACUGUUUUACUUAAGCGAUGUGACAAUCUUUUCUAUUGCGUAUUUGAAGAAACUAAUAACUCCGAUAUUUGGUUCCCCCCAUGUUAUAUUAUCUAAUUGAAACUUAUCGCAUCGCUUGAUAAGCAAAUUUUUUCUAAGACUUCUUAGUAGAGCAAGUAUUUAAGGGAAGGAAGAGAAGGAAGGAAGGAAGAAACAAAAGGUUCAGGGAAAAUCACUUACGGGAGAAGUAGUGAUGGCACCCCUCUCUUCCAUAUCUGAAACCCAAGAAGCAAAAUCCAAAUCUUCUUUCUGACGGAUAGGGACCCCCAUAGGACAGAUUAAAUCCCUCAGAUAUCAUGUUUUGGAGGUCCUUGUACGAUAAGCUCACACCAUCAUACUGUUUUCCUUCCCGCACCCGGAUAUAGUUCGAUGCGAAUGUCAUCCUGGUUAUGGUGCAAGAAUCCUGAAUGUCACUUGCUCGUAGACCAAACCCAUGUGCAGCGUUCAUGGUUAUGUUGUAACCAUCCUCGAUAUCGCUUACUUGUGGAACAAACCCAUGUACAGCAUAUGAGUACACCUUUUGGGAAAAAUUAGUUGGCGUAUCUGUAGAGUAUGCUCCCUCGAUACAUGGUUUCGGACGGACAUAUGAAGAAGAAUUAACAGGUUGCAAGCACCUCAAGAAGGCCACUGACACUACUGAGGAUAAAAAUUCAUCGGUUGGAAAGAAGGGAUGAUAAUCACUGAAGUCUGAGCGUGCCAAUGAGUGACGAGGGAGGGACGAGCAAUUACCCUUUUGCAAUCCAUCGUCAACCAACAUGAUUUUACCGGUGAAGAAAUUCCCAUCGUCUUUGUAGAAAUCAUAAUGGAUUGACUUCACAUAAUAUCGACCACCGUGUAGAUACAAAACAGAGGAGUUAUUUUCACAAGCUAACUCAUACUUAGAGAGGCCGCAAUCUUUCGGGUCGUCUUUCAAUCGAAAGGGAUAGCUAAUAUUACGUACCUUGCCACAAGAUGAAGCGGCGCACAGAUGAGUCUUCUUUGCACUGCAUCUCGUCCCUAGUAGUAGAAUAUGUAAUAUGAGCAGAAAUACACGGUACAUAAAUAUGGAGCCAAGAGAAUUAAUCAUUUCUGGCCUGUUCGAUGCAAGAGCGGAAGUUUUAGCUUGGUAAUUGUGGUGGAGGCUGAAUAAAAGGUGGGGUUAUAGAUCGAAAAGAUCGGUUUGGUCACCUGUCACUGAAAUGACCAAGUCAGCAAGUAACACAAAGUCAAGUCAAGCAGAAUAAAUUGUGUGCCCCAGCUAAAGUUUUUUUUUUUUUUUUGGUCAAAGACCAGCCAGAGGUUCCAUCGGUGGAAAUUAUGCUGCCAUUGUUGUCCACGCGGUCAAGCUAACAUAACGUGGUUUCACAUUAAUUAGGAAGGAAACUUCUUCGGCUUUCUAAAUUUGACAUUUUUGACAAGUUGGUUUUCUGGAUGAAUCAAUCUUAAAAUUGUCAAAAUGAAUCGAUUUGAAUGUGUGUGUAUAUAUUCUUACGCCGGGCAGCCCACAGCUCGUAGGGUGCAUGGUGCACCUCGGACCAAGUAUCAAUACCUGAGGGAAAGUUAGCACAGGACCCAAUCACCAUGGCCCCUACUUAAGACGUGUUAGCAGUUGUAGAGUUUUGACCAUGAGAUCUCUGCGAUGAAGUGCCCAAAGCCGAACCAACUCGCUGCCCACCAGUGGGUAUCGAUUUGUAUAUUUUAUACCUAAAUUGAAACAAAAUCCUUUUAAGGAAGCCAUCUAGUGUGGUAUUUUAUUUCAAGGCCAACAUUUCAUAAAUGCCACUUUGUUAAAUAGUGAAGACGAACAGGAAAAGGAUAGUAACAUUCAUGAUAAUAAAAGUUUGUUUAUCAAGUUUCUGAGUGUUGAUUUUCUUUAAACCAUUAGCUCUUUACAUCAAGAGAUCUGACAAGCCUGCUAAGAAAGUCAAACUUGUCAUUGUCACCAAAACUAGUCUCAAUCUUAAAUCAAGCAUUUCUUCUUCUUGUUUAAGUAUCAUGCCCGACCCGUUCAUUUUCUUGGACGUCUUUAAGUUAUUCAUCUCGUAUAUCAACUAUUCAAAAAUCAUGUUUAACCUUGUCUUGUACUCAUUAUUUUUCCUCUGUCGAUAAGCAUCUUGACAACUCAAUGUAACAUAUUCCACCUUGGUUUUAAUAUGCACACCAUUACUAAUAGUUGAAAUGUAUUCCACAAUAAAGUAGGUCAUCUAUCAUGAUCAACGCUAUUAGGCUAAUGCCACUCAGCCUUCAAUUAUUUCAUGGUCAUCUUCGUCAACCCCCAUCACGAAUUAUGAGGUCAAAUUUGGAGAUUGCUCGAGGAGGUGGUUGUUGUCAAGGUAGGUGACAAAGCGAGGGUGGAAGUGUGGUGAGAGAUUUUGAUUGGAAGGAGAGAGAUUCAUUGCUCAAUGUAAGGAUAAUUAUAAAAAAAAAAAAUUCUAAAUCUAUUGCAAUUAUACUAAUUUAGUCAUAAACUUUUUUUUGUGCUAAUUAAGUCCAAAAUCUUUUACAAUUAUAUCAAUUCAGUCAACCCAACCAAAAUUAAUCGGCCGCUGUUGAUAUGGACGUUGGCCGUUCCAUGUGAUGUCAUCGGCGUUGACGUGGAUAAUUUUAAUAAUAUUUUAAUAUUUUUUUCUAAUUUUUUUGAAUUUUUUAUGAUUUUUUUUCUGUCUUCUUUUUCCUUCAUCUUCAUCCUCUGUGGUUGCUGGAAUUCUCAAUGGCCGGUGACCAAUCAUAGAGGAAGGCCAACGAGGGUCAGCCUCAGCGGAUCUGGCGAGUGCCGCUCUCACCAGCCUCUGGUGAGGGCCAAGAAACGCUCGCUCUCGUCUGGGCGAGAUCAUCAAGGCUGGCGAGGUUGCCUCAAGCGAGGCUUGACCUCGCCUGAUCGUCAGAGGCUGGCGGGCGUUGAUGGUGUGGCAAUGAACGAACCAGCAGGAGUGUGUAGAACGAAGCAAUGGCAGGGAACGAUGAACAACCUCUCACCCCUCCUCCUUGUAAAAUCUUUCUUUUGAUUUCCGUCAAAUCCUCAUUUUCCAUUUCUUCACCACCAGACUUCCCUUAUUUUGAUUUUACCCAAAAAAAAAGACUUCCCUUAUUUUGUUUUCAUCAGAUCUUUCCUGCCAACUCAUUCCACGAUCUCUGCAUUUUUCUUUUUGGUAAAAAAUCCCACGACGUUUUUCAAACGUCUCUGCAUUCUUCUUUCCAUAACCUCUCCCAUUUGGCUGAGAUCUCUACGGACGACCUCGCCCUCGCCCUAACACUGUCGAGCAUCGCCCAGAUCUGGCCGAAGGUGCCUCGGCUGCAACCCCUAGGCCUCACCUAGAUCUGGACGAGGCCGCUCGUCCGCCAGCGAGGGAAGGUGAGGCCUGGCGAGGGCCACGACCCUUGCCAGCAGCCAGCGGCCGGCAACUACGGGGAAAAGAAGUCAAAAAGGAAGAAGAGAAAAAAUAAAUAAUAAAUGAAUGAAUAAUAUAUAUAUAUAUAUAUAUAUAUAUUAGCAUCGCCUAGACUACUAGCGUCAGCUAGCGUCCAUGUUAGAGUCAACUAGCUAAAUUUCCGGAUAAACUAAAUUGCACUCUUUAGGCUCUUAAAACUUCAGUCUAUAGGCAGUGCAAAACCAAAAAUACCUGCCCAUACCAUCCGUACAUUAUUGCAUCGUGAUUUUAAUCUAUUUCCAGUGUUAAAAACAUAUAAGAAAUCAUUGCAGAUGAGGACAAUUCUUUCCAUUCUUGACAUUGAUUUCUACCCACAAAACACAAAUUAGUGGAUUUAUCUAACAAGCAACGAAAUUGUUGCUCCAUUCAGUUUUUCAACUCAAGAACUUGCUUGGACCAGCAAAGAACAUGCAAUUCCAUUAGGCACAAGAUGACGCGAAUAAUUUUAGACAUCCUUUGAUUCAACAAGACCACAACAAUUAGAGGAGACGAAAUCACCUUUAGAUGAAUUGUUUUGUAACCUCUGAAUCUUCCUCGUGUUCAGGGAUCUCAUGUCCAUGAUCACCACUGGAGACUUUAAGGAUGUUUUGCUAGUUCUCUUUGAAAUUGGACCAUGUGGCCACGCAAAUCGAAGUGAAGAGGAUAUUGAGAAGUGAUGAGGACACAACUCAUCACGUACGUGGUUCCGUUCACCUCGUCCCCAGAUCCAUAAUUGCAAGGGACCAUUGGACAAAGACAAAAUGAAACAAGGUAAACGGUAUGGUGAGACGUGGAUUCCUAAAGUGAUACGUUUUCCUCAAAACCCUUCCCAUCUAAUAAAGCCAUAUUACUGACUCAUAAGCAAUAAUUUGCACGAGGUCGCCGUAAGAUUUGUGUUAAACUUCAAAUGUCACAUACAAACCGCUCAAAAGGUUAGUUUGUAACCAUCGUUUAUCGUUCCGCCGAGCUUAUCAUCCUAUCUUAUUUAGAUAAAUUUUCGAGCGAUCUUUGCAAAGACAUGUUCUCCUCAUGGCUUACUGACAAACUAAAAAUUUUAGCAGAUACUUGUGAGCAGUCAGACUAAGAAACGACUGUAAAAAUUACAAUCACUCGGUAAGUUACAAGGUUUUUGUUUUUUUUUUUUUUUUAAUUAACAUUCCCGUAGGAUGUAUUUUUUAAAAAAAGACCACGUGCCAUUUCUACCUCUUAAAACUUACAAGCUGAGUGGAAGGAUUCGAGUGUACUAAAGUUGCAAGCUUUUAAGAUUUAAGUGCACGAAAAUGAAAGUUUUAAAACUCUAGUUCAUUACGGUGACAAGUUUUUUGACUUGCCCCAUAAUUGUUCCUUACUUUUGAUCUUUUGGAUUAGAGCUAACGUAACAUUGAGGACCAUAUGAUAGCCCUGUCAAUAUUUUCUCAAAAUAUCGAUCUUUUUUCAGUCAAAGUAAAUCAAUUGCAAGAGAACAAUUUUUUUUUUUUUUUUGGCCAUUGGUAAAUAAAGAGAUUGUGCCAAAAUUUAACAUGAGGUGGACAUUUAAGUGCUAAAAGUUCCAAAGAUCUACUUAAGUGCCAAGAUCAGGAAAGAAUGGAACACUUAAGUGUUGACAGAGAGAAAUUCCGAUCGAAUGGCUGACGUGACAUCUUCCAAAGACUUUUUUUUUUUUUCAUAAGUGGCAAUUCUUUAAAAAAAAAUUAUCCACAAGGGAUUUUUUUUCAAAAAACUAUCCACAUGGUGCUAUGAGUCCCCGAAAUUAAUUUUUAAUAUAAAUAUUAAUUAAAUAUAAAUUAAAAAAUAAAUUAUUUUGAAAAGGGGAGAAUAGUAGGUUCAGCAAGAGUUAUGCAGUGAGGGCUUCCACUAGGGGUGUGCAAAAGAACCAGAAUUCGCCCGGACCGCCCAGAACCGGUGGUUCUUAAGAGAAUCGGUCCGAUUCCCGGUUCCAAUUUAUGGAAACCGGUGGGUACCGGUCCGGUUCCUGGUUCCAUGGGCGGAUCCGCCCAUCUGCCCACCCGGACCGGACCGGUUAUAUUAUAAUAAUAUAUAAAUUUUUAAUAUUAAAAAAAAUCAAUGUGGGGGGACAUUGCGAUGCGCUUUCAAUGAGCGAAGCGGGGAUCUAGAGGGGUGCGCGUUGCAGACGAGAAGAAGAGAACAGAGGAGAGGCAUUCGUGCCUCCUCUCCCAGCUUCUUCGCUUGCUCUGUUUCUCCUCCAAAGAACCACCACCGGCAUUAUGGAGCGUCUUCCUCUUUCCUUCUUCUUCUUACUUCUCUCUGUUCUCUCUCUUGCUGGUAAGUUUUGGAAGCUCUCUUUUUUUUUUUUUUUUCUGUUCUUUGUCAGGAAACUUUCAAAUGCAGCUCAAGUUGAAAGCUUUCCGGCUCACAAGGAGCAGAAUGCUGUGUCCUUUUCUGCUCAUCGUCCCCAUUGUCUAGGUCUAAGAACGGCUCAUCGUCCCCAUUGUCCUCCUCAUUGUCAGUCUCGAGGGAGGAGUGGGAGACAACGGGGGCGGUUGCCAAGAUGGUGGUGGUGGCCGAGAUGGAAGCGAAGCGAGGGUCGCAACUAGUUGAAGGCAAAAAGGGGAAGGCGUGGAGGUUAGACCAAUUCUGUGGAUCCACCAGGGAACCGGACCAGACUAGCGGUCUGGUUCCCGGGUGGAUCCAUGCAACUAGCAGGCGGUUCCUGGUUCCAAUUUUUCGGAACCAAUUCUUAGCAGGCGGUUCCCAAUUCCAGGUCGGGAACCACCCGCCCGGACCAUGCACACCCCUAGCUUCCAUAGCCCUCACUAUCACCAUCACUGGAAAGGCUUGCCGAUGAUUGGCUAGGUUCACUAGCCAUUGCCUAAGGUCCAAUGACCUCAACCGACCUUUGCCCACCAUUGUUGGCCCUUUCCAACGAUGGUGGGACGACGGCAGCGAGGGCUGUAGAGGCCCUCACUGAACCUACAGUUCCCUCUUUUUUAAUAAUAACUUAGUUUUUAAAUCUAAUUUAAAUUUAUUUUUCAUUAAUAUUAAACUAAUAAAUUUAUGGGCAAAACAACGUCGUUUUGUACAUUCAUUGCUAAGUAAACAUUCUAGCAACCACGUUGACCUCUUAUAUUAUUAAAAUAAGUCACGUCAGAUUUCCAGUUAUCCUUGCUAGUAUUGGUACUUAAACGUCCUAAUUUUUUUUUAAAUACUUAAAUAUACCUUUUGAAAGUGUUAGCACUUAAAUAUCAACCCAUACUAGUUUUGUCAUUUGUUAUAUACUUUCCCCGGUGAAAAAGGGUUUUGAAUUCCAGGGAGUCAAUGCUGAGUGACUUCUAAAUGCAAUAACCACAAACAACAACUGCUCUGCGAUCUGAGAGUCAAUCGAGGAAAAAAGAGUGAUUCACGAUGCUGGCAAUUAUAUGCAAGGAAAAACGAAAACAUGAUCAAGCAAAACAUUGAAAAAAGGAAAAAUAAAAUAAAAAAGUUGAUGAGUAGUAUGCGAAUCAGGUUUUGAGUUUCGGAAUACCCGCCCAAAUACAUUCCGACCCGAGUUCAAUAGGGCUUUACAAGUCUUCUUACCAGUCAUAACAUAGAUGGUAAUCGAUUCAAUCAGGGAAGCAUUCAGAAGUUAUGAAUUGCCCAACGAGGGUCCAAGCUUAACAAAAUGUGUCAUAUGAACCUACUCAUACGUCCCAUCAACCAUCAAUGGUCCAUGCUAAAGAAAGUGCUAUAUGGACUCCACAUAUACACGGUUUUCUUGGUGAUCAAGAUGGGUUUAGUUAUGUGAUAUAUCAAAUUAUAGUGAAGUCAAAAGUAAUCCCCGCUAAAUUCUAAGUCAAAUGAAGUUUUUCCUAAUCAGACAUGGGAGAUGAAAAAGGUUUUCAAGUUAAACUAAUAAAACGUGGCCGAAUAUCAAAAGAAACAAAGAAAACUUCGUAGAAUUUGGAGACACUCAAUAGAAUUACUUGUCAGUAAAUUUCAAGUUUUUUAAAACAAAAUACGAGUUCUUUCAAACAUAAACUUCAUAGAAUUGUUUCAUGUAAGACCUUAUUUUCCAUGUUGAUGAGAGUUGUUUCUCACGUAGACAUAUGAUGUAUACUUUGUAUAAUGUAUACAUGGAUAUUUUCUCUAAAAAAUAACUCAUAAGCCAAAAUUAGCAGUUUAUGAUAUCGAGAAAUCAUGUGCCGGCAGUAGCACGUUAAGUAGCCAGAUCGCUUGUUAACAUCAGCUUUUCAAUUGACAUUACCCUAAAUCAUGUAUUGAGGGAAUAAAAUGCUCAAUGUCCGUCGCCUUCCCCUACCAUUUGUGUCCUUGCUCUCUUAACAGUUUGUUCAUCCUUCUGAAGGAGGAUGGAUGAGAGUAAUUUAUGAGAGUAAAACUAUAUGAAACACAAUAACACAACAUUAACCUAAGAAAAUCUUGAAAGUAAUCACUGUCGAGCUAAACUAGCCAAGUCCCUCCCAACAUAAAACUAGAUUGUGGGGACAUAUAACAAAUACACAAACUUUUCCAGUCAAACUAUGCAUGAGCCUUUAAACAUCAUCACUAUCUCCAAAAGGAAAACUAGCGGAAACUAUCUGAGCACUUGAUGAAGUUGAGGAUGUUUCUAGUUCCAUCUUAGAUUUGUCAUUGUUGAUUAGCUCAUCUUGUGGGUAAAUAAGUGGUUUUGGAGGCAAUUGAAGUUUACAAAUAUGUCUUUCGAACAUUUCGAAGACUUUGCUCAUUGGAGGUCAAUGAUUUGGGUUUAAUUGUAUACACCAAAGUGCAACUAUUAUCAUCUUUUUCAUCAAAUUCCUUUCCUCUUCUACAACUUCUUCCAUUUCAACAAUUUCUCGUUCACUGAUUUGGUCAUACACCCACAAAGGAAAAUAAAUUUGGCUUGAGCGUUCUGCAUUUGCCUUUAUAUUCUUCCUUCUACUUGCCAUUUCCAUGAGCAACAUCCCAAAGCUAUAGACCUCCGCUUUAUGAGAUACACCACCAAUGUUUUUAUAGAACAGCUCAGGUGCCAUAUAUCCAAAGGUUCCUCUUGCUACGGUCAAAGAGACUAUGCUAUGAUCAGUAGGAUAAAGUCUCGCUAGUCCAAAGUCAGAAACUUUUGGAGUGAAAUGUUGGUCUAAAAGAAUGUUGUGAGGCUUGAUAUCAAAGUGUAGUAUUUGCAUGUCACUCCCACGAUGUAAGUACUCAAUCCCUCUCGCCACCCCAAGUGCGAUCUCAUAUAUUUUCCUAUAAUCAAGAAACUUAUUACCUUCAUCAGUGAAAAUGUGCUUAUCCAAAGAUCCAUUUGACAUGAAAUCAUACACGAAAGAUUGUUUUGAGCCUUAGCAAAACCCAAUAAGUUGCACCACAUUAACAUGGCGAAUUCUUCCAAUAGUAGCCACUUCAUUGAUAAAAUCUUAGCCAUCUGCCUUGGAUUGCUUUAAAAUCUUGAUGGCCACUUCAUUGCCACUUUUGAGUGUUCCUUUAUACACAGAACCAUAUCCACCUUCACCAAGUUUAUGCUUCAAAUUCUUUGUCAUCUUCUUAAUGUUUGAGUAAGAGUAUCUGACGGGCAAAAAGUUGUUAUGAGCUUGCAAGAAUUCUUCGAUGUUCUUGUCCAUUGCUUAGUGCCUUCCUCUAAACUUGCAAAUUAGGAAUAUUGCAACAAAUGGCGCCCCAAUUAUGAAUUUCGCUGCACAGAAAUAUGCUGACAAAAUUUUUAUAGGUUUGAUUAAUUUUCUUUAAAAUUAUUUUAAGGAAAAAUCACUACGGCUUACCUAGUGAUGAUGUAAAUUCUAGAGCUGUCCAAAAUGAUAAAAUGUAAAGACCUGUGGAAGGAACGAAGGACGUGAAACGGAAUUGAAGGAAAAGAAGUAAGGAAAACAAAAGUCCGGAGAAAGAGCAUUGUGGCAAGCUUCGUUGUACAAGUUAAAAUUUUGUCCAAAAAAAUAUAAGAAGCGGGAUGCGUGCAUUUGCAAAUAAAUGGAAAUAAUAAGCUUCAAUUCACAUAAAUGACAGACCACAUAAGAAACACCCUUUGCUUUGUUAGCAAUCUACAAAUAUAGAGAAACAACACAUAAAUACAAUUUUUUAAUGAAUUUGUUAAACAGGCUAUCUUGAAUUAUUAGCUAAGUGACUAAUUAAGGAACGAAUCAAGAAAAUUUUGGCAUAAUUUUCUUGAAUUUCAAAAAAUUGGCUGCUUGACAACAACCCCUUCUUCUUCUUCUUUUUCUUUUUUUCGCAAAUCUUGCAACCCUAAUAAUUUGUUUUUAAAAUGUAACUCAAAGCUUGCGAAACCUUUCCAUAACACAAACAUUGACGUAUAUGAACAUGAAUAUUUUGUCAUAAUUUUCUUGAAUUUCAAAAAAUUGUUUCAUUUUUGAGUUUUGAAGAGAAAGCAGCAAGUGAAAGAGCGUCCAAUAUUAUGCAAAGUCGUGGUAAAACUUCAAUGCAGUCGAUGCUUACCGUAGAAGUGAACGGAUCUGCAACCCGCAAAACCUUCAUGGAUGCUAUAGAAAUCAAAGAAGCGCCAGAAAGCUUUUAUCCCUGAAGAUGGACUAAAGCCGAGAUCGAAUCCAUUGGCCAUGAUGUCAUGAUUACGCUCAUAGUUGGAGGAGCUACUAUUAAUAAGUCCUUCACCCCAAAGAUCAUAUGAUGUCCACGUCCAACUGUGGAUGGUGCAAAAAUCCCAAACAUAUACUUUUGGAUUGACCAAAGCAUACAAGUUUCAAUACAAUGAUUUGUUGGGAGAGUAAGACGCCUCAAUGUAUGGACUUGUAGUGAUGUAAGAUGAAGAACUCACCGGCUUUGAGUAGUUCACAAUAACCAAUCUACCAUUGUUUGUAUCGUCUAAAUAGCCUUCAUAAUUCUUCCAGGUCACCAAUAAUGAAUGAUGGGGGAGAGAUGAGCAAUUAUCCUUUUGCAACCCGUCUUCGAUGACCCUAAUUUCGCCAAUGUCAUAAUUGAUAGACUGUACAUUGUAUCGACCACCAAGCAAGUACACAACAGUGCGAUUAUUUUCACAAGCCAUGUCGUAUAUCGAGACACUCCAUUUUUUUGGGUUACUCUUCAGUCAAAAUGGAUAUCUUAUAUUGUGAAUGUUGCCGCAGGAUGAAGCACUCUGCCGAUUACUUGGUUCGACAUUUCUAGUUAUUGCUAGAAAUAGAACAAGAGUGAGUAACAAGACUUGACAAAUAUUCAUGAAGCCGAGAGCAUUAAUCAUGCCUUUGAUUGUCUUUGGGCAAAAGAGAAAUUGGAGGAAGUGCAAUAUAAAAUGAUAAGAAGAGAUUGGACAUAUCCUUGUUCGAUGGGAGACUUGGGAGUCGCCUCGUCCUUUAUAGUGAAGCCCAAGUCAGUCAACGAAACAAAUGGAGGCACCAUCUUUCUUUUUAGUUUCUUCUUCGUUCUUUCCUCCUCCCUUCUUCUUCCCCGUCUUCUUUCUUCAUUGGCUGGCGAUCAUAGUCAAAUUGAUGUAAAGUUUCUAGGAAGAAAAACUAGAAUAACGAAUAAGGCGAGGUACAUAGGUGUGGAAUUGAGAGGAAAAAUCACGUCCCUCUCAGCCUGUGAGCAAUGGAAAAUUGGGGCUUCAUAUGUGGUGGAGAAUCAACGAGGAUAUGAACAAGAUAAAACAAAUUCAAUCAAGUCGAAAAUGUUAUAAUCAUCAUUUCUUGCUGGUGACAUAACAUCAUGAUUGCCAACUCAUAUAAUUAGUCAUGAAUGAUAUCGUUUCAUAUUUUUGGAGAAUUUUUCUUAAAUAAUUAAGGUUUUCAUAUUUUUGGAGCCAUCUAAGAAAUUAGUGCAAAUUUUAAAUCGAAGUAAAUUUAUGUGAAUUAAGAAUCAAAUGAAUUCGGAUGAUAAGUGAUCGCACACAUUCAAUUUGAAGUAAAAAGAAACAUUAAGAAAUCAAAAUAAUUAUCUGCUCUAUGAUGUUAUUAUUGAAGAAAUUUCUCAAGAGGCCGUUAGAGUAAAAGAUUUUAACUUUAUCAUUGUUUUUGGAGAGAAUUCAAAGUCAACAACAAUAAAAGUUGUUGGUUGGGGCCCACCGGGUAAGGAUCACAGUUUGAUUGAUGCAACAUUUUUGCUGCUUUAUUGAGGUGAGCAAUGAUAGUCAAUAGAGAAGGCUUAUAUCGUUUUAGCGAAAUAUGUAGCUUUUUUUAUUUUGAGAAUUUUGAGUGAAUUAUAUUAUAUAAAAAAAGUAUAUAAAAAAAUAAGAAACGAUUGGACGAUCCUUGUUCAAUGGGAGACUUGGGAGCCGCCUCGUUCUUUAUAGAGAAGCCCAAGUCAGUCAGCGGAACAAAUGGAGACAAGUCUAGAAAUGUUGAUCUUUCUUUCUCCUCUCUCUCCACGGGAACAUUGUGUCCACAUCUCCUCGACAAAAAAAAUCCAUCACUUUCUUCUUCGUUCUUUCCUCCUCACUUCUUUAUCUUUUGAGUAAAAGAUUUGAACUUUAUCAUUGUCUUUGGAGAGAAUUCAAAGUCAACAACAAUAAAAGUUGGUGGGGUCACCAGGUAAUCAUCAUAGUGUGAUUGAUGCGACAUUCUUUAUGCUUUAUUGACGUGAGCAAUGAAAGUCAAUAGACCAAAGGCUUGGAUCGUUUUGGCGAAAUAUGUAGCUUUUUUUUUCUUGAGAAUUUCGAGUGAAUUUAUAUUAUAUUAAAAAAUUAUAAAUCAAUUAUAUAUCUAUUAUAUAGAUAUGAUUUAAAUUAUAAAACUUUUUUUAAACUGUCAAUAUAAUUUUAAAUUUUUAUAUGAAAUUUUAAUUUAAUAUACAGUAUAAUCAUUUUGGAACUUUUAUCAUUUUAUAUGACAUAAUUAGCAUAUGAGUUGGAAAAAGUUAAAGAAAUGUCAUUGUUUUGAGUAAAUUUUGUGAUUUUUAUUCCACUUUCUUUUCUUCUUCUUUUUUUCAUUUCCCCGCUUCCGAUCAUCUUCUUCUUUGGGUAUUCAUCCGAUUUUUGCUCUUAAUUCUAUGCUCUAGCACUUUUGGCUUUCAGUCAAGCGAGGUCGCUUCUCAAAUCUUGCUCUGUUGAUUUCGUAACGGUCCACCAAUUUUUGUAUUUUCGUGUCAAUUCGUGCCUGCAAUGCCAUGCUUUGUGUGUUCUCUAAUCACACCAUAUCACACCAUCAUUUGCUGAAUUGAUUGGGCGAUUCAAAGGGCAAUUAUUUUGUCAAUGUCUUAGCUUGAAGAUAUUGAAUUCGAGAUUAAUUAUUUAUUUCGUCGAGUCACUCUUCAAUCAAAACAGAUGUUUAUAAUGCAAAUAUCACCACAGGAUGAAGGGACGCAAUGCAAAUUAGUUGGCUUAGUAUUGCUAGUCAUGGCUUGCAAUAGAAGAAGAAUAAGUAGUAACCCUGGAUGGAUAUUCAUGGAGCUGAGAGCUUCAAUCAUGUCUCUGUAUAUUCUUGGACAAAGAGAAAAGGGUGAAGAGUUGCUUGGUGUCUAUGGAUGAGGGCCAAUUUAAAAGGAUUGAAAAUAGAUGGAAUGGAUGAUGCUAGUUUGAUUUGAGACUUGGAGUCGCCAUGUACCGUAGAAAAGCCCAAGUCAGUCAACCUAAUAAAUACAUGAAGUUGAGAAAAUUGGAAGAUCACCUAUGGAUACAGCAGACCUAGGACAUUUUUACAUGCCAUAGAAAAUUCAAAAGACAUUAAACUCCAUUUGGUAAAAAUAAUUUCUAUUCCAAAACAACUAUUUUUGUUCUUUUAUUUUAGGGAACAAAAAAAGAAUAGAAACAUAUUUAGUAAAAUUUUUAUUUCUGAAAAUGGAUUUGAAAUAGAAACAAGAAGUAGAAAAAAGUAACAUCUUGUUCUUUUGAACAAUUUUUUUUCUUUUCUUCUUUUUCCUUUUUUUCUUCUUCCUUUUGGCCAGUCACCGGCCUCGGUCAUGGCCGACGACCUCACUGGGCCACCACCAGGUCGGCGUCGCCUAGUGGUGGCCCGGCGAGGCCAAGCCUCACCGGCUGGCACGAGGAUCGGCUUCACUAAGCCAUGGUGAGGCUGACCUUGCGCUGCCUAGGCGAGGUCGAGCCUUACCCAAAUCUGGCGAGACCGAGCCUCGUGGUGGCCAAGCAAGCCUCCAGCGAAUGCGCCGACCCUUGCCCAACCAGUCGCCGGCUGCCAUUAUGGCUAACGACCAGCCACAAAGGAUGAAGAAUGAGAGAAAAGAAAAAAGAAAGAAGAAAUAGAAAACAAAAAUCUAAUAAAAAAAUUAAAAAUUAAAAGAAAUAAUAGAAUUAUACAAUUCUACCAAACGCAUUUCUAUCCUAGGAAUAUAAUUUUUGUGUAGUUAUCAAGCAUAUUCUUAUACUCAUAAAUUGUUUUCGAGAACAAAAAAAAAACAUUUUUGAUUAAAAAUUGAUUAUGGAAAAAGAAUAGUUUGGACCCUAAUUCACAUAUAGGAUCUCUCUUUGCCCUCUUAUCUCCACGUUUCUUCCACCUCUCCACAUGAUUGUUUCAUACACAUCCCAUCAAACCAACGAAUCCAUCUCUCCAUCUCUCCCCAUCACUUCGUUAUGAAACAUCGUCUUUCUUCUUCAUUUUUUGCUUCUCCUCUCCAUUCUUCAACAUCUCCUUUCUUUUACCACGAGUCAUGAUCAUAGGCAAACCACCAGCACGGGCUGCUCAUCUAUCAAACCUAGCCGCACCGCCGCCACCACAUCGCCGACCUUGCUCACCACCUAUUGCGAAAUAACUUGAAAAAUAAGAGUCUUGUAAUUUAAAUUUAGCACCGAAAGAAAUAAAUUACGUGAUUUGAGUGUCAAUAUCUAUCGUAAGGGAAGAAUCGGCAUCAAGAAAUCUUUUAUAGAUGCAAAGAUAACUCAUAAAAAGAAAAUUCACUAACAUCUAAAUAAUAAUUUGUGAAAGUUAGUGUCUAAUGUGACCAUAACCCAUCUAUUAAUAUCAUAAUUCCAUGCAUGAAACUAAACCAAUAACACCCAAUAGAUUUUUUGAAGAAGGUUUAGACAGUUUUCGGAUCUACCUCACUAUCAGCUACAAUUUUCAAUUGAAGGAGUCGAUGGAGCACCAACUAUCUAUUUGAGUGCUACUGGGGGAGCUCAAGAUCGACAAUACACGUCAACCUAGAUAUACCCAUCACAUACUAAUCUAGGUUUCUUGAUGCCGAUGAGAGAAAUCAAACCUGUGACUUUCAGCUUGCAAAACAAAUUUUAAACCACUCGACCAACCACCAAACUGAUAACCAUAUCCAGUAGUUAGUUUUGAGGCGUAUCACCAAACGUUUUUCUUUUCCAUUAUUUGCUCUUAAUAUUUUUACCCAACAAGUCCCCUUUUCCACGAAAACUCAUGUUUCAAUGAUGUCUCUAUCCCGGGACCAUUUGCGUAUAAUCGGAUCAGUAUGGAUAAAAGUCCUCAGGAUUAGCCUCGGACAAUUAUAUUAGACACCGACAUUUCAAAUGCAUUACAAGAGAAAAAAAUCAAUUUUCGUUUCCCUUUCCAUUCCAAGGUUUAAACGCCAGAUCAGGGGGAUAGAUGAGCAGUUUCGAAGAGAUUUGUAGUUUAUCGAUGUAUCUCGUUCAAGCAUUUCUAAGGCUUUGUCCAUUGAACAUUGAUGAUCAAGAUCCGAUCGUGUAUGCUCCAGAUUGCAACUCCCAUCAUCUUCCUCGGGGUUACUGUUUCCUCACCCAUUUCAAAGUUUCUCUCAUCAUUGACUCGGUCGUAUGCCACAGCUGGAAACGAAUUUGCCUUGAACUUUCUAAAAUUGCAUCAAGGUCAUCAUAGUUCCCGCAAGUGUCAUUAGCAACGCGGCAAAACUGUAGACGUUGACUUUGCAAGAGAAGCCACCAAUGCUCUUGUAGAGCAACUUCGACGUUGUACAUCGAAAAGUCUCUCUUCCCUGCAGUCAAGGAAAGUGUCCUAAUUUGAGAGUUGGAAUUUUGCCAGUCCAAAGUCGGAUACUCCGGGUGUAUGAUUCUCCAUCUAGAUGGAUGGUGACACUAUGAGACUUGAGUUCAAAGGGUUGAAUUUGACUUGGGCAAAGGUUACUGUUAAUCUUGGAUCGUCAUGGGCCAGGCUUGCAAAAACUUCUUUUUGGGCCGAUGAGCAUUUAAUCUGAAUGAUUAUCUGUUAAUUUCCCUUUUUCGCAUUGCUAUUGCGAAGAUCAUUGGAUUCAAGCAAAUUUAGUCGACUAAGGGUGGUGCAAGUGUUGAGAUGUCGAAGAGAACUCCACACAUUUAAUUCCCCCUUUUUUUUCUGUCUAUCUGCUUGUAUUGUAUAUUUGUUUCUAAUUUGAAAGGCUCGAUUCUUAUCGACUUUUUGUCAAAACAUUGCACAUGAUAAUAUCUUAUUAAUAGAUUGAGAAGAUGAGUUCGAGGGGAUUCUUUGACUGGUUACUAGUAAAUUAAUUUAUUAGCUAGGAAAAGAACCCGGACACAUACUCUUGCCAUGUUCAGGUUUGGCCCUAGAAUAUGUGCUUUGAUGUUUUGGAAUUGCACGCAACCAUUUGCUGGUGCAUUUGUUUUCUAGGAUUGAUCGACAGUCCGCUCUAUCCCAUAUAUUACAUUUAGCAGCACACUGAGGAUUUGAGUAAUUAAUCUAUCAGUUGCCCUGUCUUAGAUGAUUUUGUUAGCAGUAGACUAAUUAAGGGAUGUUGGUUAUCCUGCAAACGGUCCUUGUUUUUUUUAAAGGUAUGGAAGUUUGAGGAUGGGAAUAUAUAGAGCAAAAGUUGCAACUAAACUCUCUUUGUGGUAACCCUUCUUCAUGGGCGAUGUACAUGCACUAGGGGUGUCCAAGAACUUACCCGACUCAACCCGAACACAAAACAAGUAUAAUAUAGUUUUCGGCUCUUAAUAUUGAUCGGGAAACAAUUAUAAAAUGAAUGGAGUACAUGUUUAGUGUUUGGUUAGGGCCGAAACAUUGCUCGACCCAAACUAAACACGUUACUUACAUUAAAUUGAAACCCAAACAAGCAAAACACAUUGCCCAUACCUUCACGAAAGAGAGACUGAAACUUCGGAGCUGGAACCCUUCCGUCGACUCCGCCGCCGUCGACGGCCUUUCCUCCUCCUUGGCCUCUUCUUGUCCCUUGGGUCCACGCGAACGCCACGGACCGCUUUUGCAAAGAUUCAUUGGACGGCUAAUCGAGGACCACUUCUCACGUCCAAGCCUCGUUCUCACACAACCGACAGAAAAGGUAAGGCGCUUUCGCCGAUCUAGCUUCUUGUGCCGGGUCGAGAUAUAUCGAAGACGGAGAGGAGUUGGGAGUGUUUCGGUUUUUGCUUGUGGUAUUGUUGCGGUGGGGUUUUUUGGGAGCAAUCUUACUUGGGUUUGUGGGGAUGUGCUUGUUGAUAAGCGCGCAUCAAGUGUUUGAUUAAGUGCCUGACGGAGAGAGACGUGGUUGUUUCUUGGACCGUGUUGGUUGGCGUUGAGUUCUGAUCAUUCACUUGCUUGAAACGAAUGAAGGGAGGGUCAAGAUAAGUGUUUCGUGCUCUAUGUCUGAUGUGUCCUCCUUUCGACCUUAUGGGUUCUUCGGUCGAUAUGUAAAAUCCUCGGUCUCGUAUAAUCUUCACGAACGGUUCUACUUGUGGGGAGAUACGAAUUAUGGCUCAAAUUCCCCUUUGAGGAUUUUGUCCGUCUGGCGCAUACGGCAGUGAUGGCUGUAGAGAGGUCGAUAAAAGUUGGGGAGAGCUAAAGUUAAUGCCUUUUCUGAUGCUCUUGCCAGACUGAAAUUUGAUGCGACUGAUUCCCACUUGAGAUACUUCUGACAAUUUAGAGCCUCUUGUUCCACUUUUCAGCAGAAACUUAACAGACGUUUGAUUGAUGCAAAGACAUUUUGAAUCGAUUUUCUAUUUCUACCUUUUGCUCACCAGUUGCUGAGGAAUCAUUUCGAAAUGCGAAGAUAUUUUGAGUCUUAUGAUUCGAUUUUCUUACAAAGACCCAAGGAAUGGAAUAAAUGUGCCACUUAGCGUUUUAUUAUGUUCCCACGCUGACUGAGGUCCCUUUUAGAGUUUUCUAAUUGGUUCUAUGCUGUUAUAUGUGAGGAGAUGCUAAAUUAGCUGAAGUUUGUUGCCAAUGUUUACUCCACUAUUUUUGUGAUUUAGUUCCCUAUUUAGUUGUUCUCUGCUUCUGUACAGGUUGUUUUCCUAUUGAUAAAUGUUAAUUUUAUUGCAUUUCAAUAAAUAAAUGAAUUUUAUUGAAGAGCACCAAUGGGGUGUCCACCCAUAUACGAAGCUAUUACGAGGUUAAAGGAAGAGACAUUUGGACUCUGUACAUUACUUUUAAAAACUUUUACUUAGAUCAGCUUUUUAGGUGGUUGAGAAUCUUAAAGAACUGGCACAAUGUUUGCUGUUGUGCCUUAUAAAAUUUUUUUGUAAAAGAACAGUUUUGAGAGCAUUAGGGAAGAAUCUUAAAGAACUGGCACAAUGAUGUGAUAUAUAUUUUGAGAGUAUGAUGAUCAUUGCUUAUCAUAUGACGUGACUGUAAAUGUAUUUUGAGAGCCUGAGGAUCAUUUCUUUGCGGUUUGAAUGAGGAAAUACUGCACAUUUGUGGUUCCCUAAGACCAACCAAUACAGGAAGCAUUCAUUGGUUGGAUAAGGAUUUUGAAGAAAUAUCCCUCAUAGAUAGGUAUCUAUCACAACUGGAUCUUCCUUGAACCAAUUGUUGUUAUUAGAGAAUCUAAGCUGACAUCAUUCGACGAUACCCCAGGAGUGAUACAAAAAGAGAGAGCGAGAAUGAAAUAAAGAUGCAGGAGCAUUCUGUGGUGGGAGGGAAAGAAAUUUCCUUAGGCAGCGACCAAAUUAAAAAGUCCAAGAAACGAAGAUCAAGAGAAGAGUCUUAAACGUGGGUUUUUGUCAAGUGCAGGUUGUUUGAUUUGCUUAUAGGUAAUCUCAUGAUAGCUGAAGUUUGUGACGCUGGCGAUUCUGUCAAUUAUCUUUCUCUCACUACCCCAAAAGUCUGUUUUGCUUUGUUGGUUGUUUAGCUUAACUUUGAGCAUCCUAUCUGAUCUUUGUAAUCUACUGAUGAAAACGUUUGAACGAUCUGUGAAUCAAGCUUGAAUAUUCCUCAAAUGGUCAGCUCAUGAAAGAUUUCUCGUAUAUAUUUUUUUGUUAUGUGCAAUGUGAAUAAAGGCUAAAUAUGUGCAAGUGGCUUUCAAGAUUAAAUGGCUUUUCUGUCCGUUUUCCACCUUUUGCAGUACUGUUUUUUUUCUUGUCUUUAACAUGCAGAUUUAAUUUUGCUUUUUCAAUGUUGCUAAGUAAUACUUGUUCCCCAGGACACCACUCUAGCAGUCCUUACAGAUAGGCUUAUGAUCCCACCACAAUUACUUAUGAGAUAAAAAUGAUUAAAAAAAGACCCGAAACCCAACCCGACCUGAUCCAACUCGAAUUGACCUGGUUUUUUGCUUUAGGUCAUAUGCUUUUCGGGUUGGGUCUGAGUCGGAACACACAACCCAUACGAUGCGGGUCGGUUGGGUAACAUAAAUAUAAAAUGCAUUAAAAUUCAUAGAAUCAUUUCAUUUAAUGCAUUUUUUGUUCCAUUUUGAUAAAAAUUGUCUCUCACAUAUGCAAGUGGGGUGUCUACUUUGUAAAACUUAUGCAUGUAUAUAUAUAUUUUUUAAUGAAUAUAUAAGUUGAAAUCAGGGGUUCUUGACAUCGAGUAAUCACGCACUGGUAGAACCACAUUAUUAGCUUUUGAAUUGGCAUUACUCUUAAAUCACGUAAUGAGGGAGGAAAAUUCUCAAUCUGCAUCCCCUCCCCCACCCUUUAUGUCAUUGCUCUCUUACCAAUUUUUUAUCCUUUCAAAGGAGGAUGCAAGAGAGCAAAACUAUAUGAAAUAUAAUUACACAAUAUAACUAAGAGCUAGAAGAACACAAUCUCAAAAGCAAUCACUGAUGAGCUAAACUAGCCCAAGUCCCUCUUAACAUAAUACUAGACCGUCGGGACAUACAAAAAUACACAAAGCUUUUCCAGUCAAACCAUGCAUAAAUCUCUAAACAUUAUUGCCAUCUCCAAAAGAACAACUAGCAGAAAUUAUUUGGACACUUGAUGAAGUUGAAAAUGUUUCUAGUUCCAUCUCAAAUUUGUCAUCAUUGACUAGCUCAUCUGGUGGAUAAAUAAGCGGUUUUGGAGGCAUUUGAAGUUUACCAAUAUCUCCUUCAAGCAUUUCUAGAACUUUGCUCAUUGGAGGCCGAUGGUCAGGGAUUAAUUGUAUACACCAAAGUGCAACUAUUAUCAUCUUUUUUAUCACCUUCCUUUCCUCUUCUACAACUUCUUCCAUUUCAAUACUUCCUCCUUCAUUGACUUGGUCAUACACCCACAAGGGAAAAUAAAUUUGGCUUGAGUGUUCUGCAUUUGCAUUUAUAUUCUUCCUUCUACCUGCCAUUUCCAUGAGCAACUUUCCAAAGCUAUAGACAUAUGCUUUACAAGAUACACCACCAAUGUUUUUAUAGAACAAUUCAGGUGCCAUAUAUCCUAAGGUUCCUCUUGCAGCAGUCAAUGAGACUAUGUUGUGAUCAGUAGGAUAAAGUCUAGCAAGUCCAAAGUCAGAAAC